rnacentral:lncRNA from 1 species
AACACGGUGAUUAGUUCACCGUGUUUAGACACGGUGAACGAAUCACCGUGUUCAACUUGAAUACCUGGCCCAGACCCUGCCCGCGUGGCGCUGACGUGGCGCUGGCGUGGCAGGGCCAGGGCCAUUUUUGCAAAUAAAUUUUACACAGGGCUAGUUUUGCAAAUAAAAUUUGUCAGGGGGCUAUUUGCAAAAAAAGCCCUUUUUUUUCCUUUCACUUUCUUUUUUAAGUGGGAUAUGUACCUUUUUUUUCUAGGAGAAAUUGCUCAUACAUUUCAGAAAAAAAUUUCAACUUUUUUAUUUAUCACUCUUAAAAAGCUAGUAUUUAUAAUUUCUCUUAAAAAGCUAAUAUUUAUAAUAUCUUUUUAACGUCCCAAAAUCUUUCAAAUAUAUUCCUAGAGUUAAAUUUUGUUUAGUAAACGAUUAGGAACAGUCGUUAGCUUUGUAAAAUUAUCAUUUUGUCCUUUCAAAUAUGUCAUUUUAUUGUCAUCAACUUUUUUUAUUUGCCUUUAAUUUAGGAACAAAGUAAGUAUUUUGACUUUUUACGUUUUCAAAUAUACCUUUUUACAGUCACAAUUUUUUCUUAUUUGCUUUUAAGUUGGGGUUAUGGUAAAAAUUUAACUCAGAUUUAAUCCGAGAUAAUUGAACGAGCCCUAAUAACAUGUAUAUUUUUGAAUAACGAAGAACAUAUAAAAAAUAUAUUUGAAACAAAAAAAUAAAAAUAAAUAAAAUAUUUGAGAAGUUCUGUAGGGUAUAUAGAUAAUUAUCUCUAUUUUUUUUAGCCCUUUUUAACCCGUCUUUAGUUAAAAAGGAUCAAGAUACUUUUUUUUUUUUGUUUUUUUGAUAGAUGACAUUAUAAAACCAUUUCAGUUCUAACCAAAAAGAAAAAUAAAAAAAGCGCUAGUCCCGAACUAGUAAAUGAUGAUUUUUGUUGAAACGGUUGACAGAAAUAAAUUUAAACUAAUCAAAAAUAUCGGAUUACUUAUCAACAAUUUUGUCACAAGAGACAAAAUCAUCAUUCUUGGGUAAAAUUUUUUUUCACCAGUCACAUGAUGUGACUCGUAAAUUACACCCUACAUAAGGAUGGGUGGGCUUGUAAGAUAUACAUCCUUCUUAGGGUAUACCAUUAAUAUUUUCUAUUUUUUACCAUGAUACAUUAUCAAUAAUUUAAAAAUCGGGUUUAACACACCGAUUCGACAGAUCCGAUCGUGACAUCAGUUUAUAAAGUGAUUUAGUUCAAUUUUUUAAAAGAAUAAGUUAAAAAAAUACUUUGAACGUUUCAAGCCAUUGAACUGGUGAACCGAUCGAUUUUAAUCAAAUCAGCCAAACUUUUUUUUAUCAAGUCAUGUUAAAUUCUAACGACUUUAAAUUAAAUUAGCUGAUUUUAUUUCUAUUAGCAACAAAUUAAUCUUAUAUAAAGUGAAACUUGAAUAUUAUAUAUAUAUACGUAAUUUGGUUUAAAAAUUAAUAUUUUAUAAUUAAAUAUGAUACUAAAACAAAAAUAUAUGUAUAUUAUUUUAUAAUAUAAUUCAACAUUUAAAAUAAUAAUUAAAUAUUUAUAGCGUAAUGCUGAUGUCACUGAUUCAACCAGUAAUGAAUUCGCUCAUUGAACCAGCGACCCUUGACCCACUAAUAUUUGUCAUUUGCUAUGCGAUUCAAUUUUUAAAACAUUGCAUAACAUAUUUCUUUUGAGAGAUAGAUAGCAGCUAGGGGUGGAAACGAGCCGAGCUCGAGCGAGCUUAUGUCAGCUCAAAUUCGGCUUGAAAUUAAUUUCGAGCCUAAAUCUAGGCUCAAGCUCGGCUUGAAAUUAAUUCGAGCCGAGCUCGAGCGAGCCUAAUUUCGAGUCGAGCCGAGCUCGAGCUCUAACGAGCGAUUGAAAUUCUCGAAUUAUAUAAUCAAUAGUUUGAAUUUUUAUAGAAUUACCUACAUUUGAUGCAACAUGUCAAUAGUUCAAAAUACAAAAUAAUUGAAGAAAUUAUCAGUCAGGGUGAUCUGCCCUGACGGGUGAGGCGUUCAAAGAGAGAGAGAGAGGAGAGAGAAGAUCGAGAAGGGUCCGCGUGAGAGGAGAGAGAGAGAGAGGGGGGGGGAUUAGGAAAUUUGAGAAGUUGAAUGUUAUAUGUUUUAGGGUUAUGUUGGCAAAGUGAAAAUCUGAAGACGGAGUGUGUUAUGUUAAUUUUAGGUUGGGGCUCAUUUGCACGGUCCUGUACUUUGUUAGGUAUUAUUUUAGGGCCAACAAUAAUAGCCAAAUUAAAUUAAAGCUUAACAUAUAAUUAAAAUACAUUAUAGUAUAUAGUAAUAUAAUUAUAUAUAUUAUAUAUAUAUAUAUAUAUAUAUAUAAUAUAUAUAAUAUAUAUAUCUCUUAUAGUAUUCUAUAGUACCGAGCUCCGGCUACUAUAGUGUUGGUUUUCGAAUUUGGGCGUUCAAUAUCACGCAUCCACGACCGUUAAAUAUGAUCGUAGGGUAUACUGAAUUUCUUAAGAAUAAAUUUAGUUUUUUUCUGAUAUCGUUUACUAGUAAAUAAUUAUAAUCUAAAAUGACGGAAUGGAAAUUUGAAUAAUCUUUAAAUUGAGCAUAGGACUUUUAAAUUCAAGAUCAAGAAUGUUACCUUAUUUAACAUAGUUAAAGAUAUUUUCUAUUCAAAAAUUUGAAAAAAUUUAGUUUUCUACACUGCUGGUUUAAAUCCAACUCGUAUAUAGCCAUUGAAAUGAUAUUUGAAAUAGUUUGAUUGCAUGAAAAUAUAACUAAUGUCGAAAAAAUUAUAAAUUUUAUUCGAGAAACUUCCUUAAAUAACCAAAGAUCAGUUUUAACGUUGUUGGCAUCGUUGAUUGUGAGAACGCUUAAGAUCGAAAACCAACACAUAUAGUACCGGAGCUGGAUCUAUAGAUAGUAAUAGUCAUAGUCAGCUCUCUCUUCUCCUCUUCUCUCUCUCUCUCUCUCUCUCUAAUUAUAUAUAUUAAUAUAUAUAUAUAUUCGAGCUUUUCGAGCCUAAUUCGAACGAGCCGAGUAAUACUCAAGCUCGGCUUGAAAUGAAUUUCAAGCCUUUUAUUUUGUUCAAGCUCAGCUCAUUUAAUUUCGAGUCGAGCUCGAGCGAGCCGAAUAUCGAGCCGAACACGAGUCGAACGCGAGCCGGCUCGCUCGUUUGCCAGCCCUAAUAGCAGCUACCUGCUUCAUUUAUUUCGUUUAGAAAUAAACUUAGCUGGAAAUGUGAAUCAAUUAGGAUUCGAACUUGAGACUUCGGGUACCAACCACCAAGCCUUUUGCCACUUGUGUUAGGGACAGUCGAUAUAACAUAUGAUAUAUUAGUAUAAAUAUAUAAUGAGUGAAUGAGAAAAUUGUACCUCCAAAUUUAGUAGUGAGUUUGUUUUGCAACGGAAAACUAUACCAAACAGCUCUUUAAUGCAUGCCUUGAGACUAAAGUUAAAGAAUAUAGCAGUAUAUUCCCACAAGUUAAAGAAUGGAGUGAAAAUUUAGUAGAUUAGAAACCACAAUAAAAACAUUUCUCUCUUAUUUUUCUUCAGUAAAUCUUGGCAAAUUUCGCUUUGAAUCAUCCCCACUUUAUUGCUAUUUAUUAUACAAUCCAACAUAUUAAUGUAAGAUGAGCUCCAAGAAGAUAAUAAACUCAGUGCUUCAGCCAACAUAUGUACCUAGCUCAUUUACCAAAUUAAUGAUAAGGGUUAAAUUUAUUUUGUAUUCAUUGAGGCAUUUAUCUUUAAUUAUCUCACACCAACUAAAUUUUGGUACAAAUAUCAUAUCCUCAUAUCUGUGGCAAUAGUAGAGCUAAAUAUCCUAUCCUUUGCCUUCCUUCCCUGUAGAUAAUGUAGGAAAAAAUAAUAUGUUAUAUAUCUUAAUAAUCAAUCCAAAUAUUGAUGCAAAUAUAUAUUUCAUUAUGGUGUAAAUCAACUUCCAGGGUAGCUAACUUUGCCAUCAAAAGUUGUGCAAAUCUUGCAAUUUAGAUAAAACCAAAAAUUAAAACAAUUAAAAGUUGUGUUCCAAUUAACUAUGAGUCACGUACGUACGUGACGCUUUGAUUCCCAAAUUUUAAUUUGUUAAAAUUUUAAAUUCAAACUUUCUAAAUGGUUGCAAACAAGUGGAACCAUAGUUUAAUUUAGUAAACUAAAUAUUGAUGUGUUGUUACUUAUUAAUUAAUAUAGUUGUGAUUAUUGAUGACACCUCAAUAAUUAAAAUGACGUAUUAAUUUCACGUAAGUGAUACGUUAGUAUUUAGUUUUGUGUAACUGAAUUAUAAUAGGUUAAAAGUUUUGAGAUAUAAAUUAUAAUAAAUUAAGAUUUGAGUAUCAAAAUGUAACAAGUUUCAUAGUGUGAGGACCAAAAAUGUAAUUUAGUUAAAAAUGCAAACAUAUUUGUACCUAACAUUUAGCUUGAUUCUUUCUUCCAUAAAAGAAGAGGAUCUAUGAGAAUUGACCAUAACCAAGAGUAGUACUAAGGAAGUGCACCAAACAUCACAUCCAACCAUAGAAAAUUAUUAUUUUAAAAAUCAAAGAAACAAAAUUAAAAUAAAAAACAAAUAAUUAAGGCUCUUUUGUGUUUUGGUAAAAACGAAUGGAACUUAAUUGAACUAUGUAUUUUUAAUUUGACUAUUUAAUUUUUUAAAUUUUAAUUUAUUAUCUAAUUUUUCAAUCUGUUUGAUUUACGUCAGCACUUUGAUUCUAAAAUUUAAGCUAAUUACUUAAUUUAAUGAACUUAUAAUUAUUAGAAUUGUAUUAAAUGUAGUAACUAAAUAUGUGGAGAUAAAUGAGCAUUCGAAUUUUGAAGGCAAAGUGCCGUCGUUGACUGACUCAAAUCGAACAAAUUAAAAAAUUAGAUAGUAAAAUCAAAAUUUUGAAAGGCUGGACGAUCAAAUUCAAAUGUAAAUUCAAAAUUUUUGCAUUGUGUUUUUGGUGGAAUGUUUACCUCAUUUUCCCAGUCAGUGUAUAGGAUAAUAGUUAAAAACACCAACACUUGCAAGAAGGUGCCACAUAUGAUUCCCAUCCAAAGACCCUGCUCAUCACCAAGUGAGAUUUUAGUGAUCACACAAAUCAUUAGACAAAAUGGUCAAUUACAAUAGUUGUCUUAGAUCUUCAUGUGAGUUUUUGUUCUAAUUUUCAACAUUGUUGUUUUUAUAAUCCUAUUAAAUCUGUUAAUUUCGAUAAAAAUUGUCAUACCAGAAUCAAAUCAUAUUAAUUUGGUGCGUCACCGCCAAUAUAUUAGAACUUUCCAUGUGACAAAUUUUAUCUGAUUGAUUGAAAAGAUUAGUAAAUAUUAAAAUCUUAGUUAAAACAAUUUAAGAAAUUAAAGCAGAACAAAUUAAGAAAUUAACUAAAGAUAAAAAGUAAAAAUUAAAAGGGGAAUAAGGAAAACUACCUUUCCACCAAAAUGAAGAGCAAAUGCUAAUACAACAGCUGUAGGAAUACCCACAAUGUAAUAAGUUCCAAGAUUAACAAAAGCACCAAUCUUUUGCCAACCACAUCCUCUAGCAACCCCUACAUUUCAUGAAUAGUUAACACCAACUAUGGUUAUCAAAUAAAUUGAACAAAACAAAAUAAUCUUACAUACGCAUGCAGUAACACAACUUUACACUACUACACUCAACCAAACGGAGUAAUACGGUACUAGUAAUAAUCUGAAUUACGGAUGUUAUAUUACUAAUUAUGUUCAAAAAAUCAGUAAUGUCAAAUAAUACGAACCAAACGGGCCCUAGGAGUAAAAUAGCAUGGAUGUUAUAUUACUAAUUAUGUUCAAAUAACCAGUAAUGUCAAAUAAUGCGAACCAAACGGGUCCUAGGAGUAAAAUAGCAUGACACCUAUUUGGAUUUUGGCAUGUUUGAUUCCAUUCGUCUAACAAACUUUUAAAAGUUUUAUUUUUAGUUUAUGACAUUUCCAUUUGUUUGAUUUGAGCCAUUUGGUGGUUUUUCAAUUACAAUAUCAUUACAUACCUCUUUCUUGAAUUAAUGAGAGGUAACUUAAUUAUCAAGCCGUUUUAAAUAAAUGACUCACAUCCAAAUUUUGAAGUGAAAGAGCCAACAAAUUGCUCUAAUCAAAUAAAAUAAAUGUAAUGUAUAUACCAAUUAAAAUGAAGAAUUGUAUAAGUUAGAUAGUUAAUUUGAUCAAAUAAGUCAUCGUUCAGAUAAGUUUCAUGUAUUUAUGUUGCCAUCUAAUUUUCAUGAUUUCAAGUAUAUAUUCAACUGCACAUAAUAGUAGAGUAAAAGGAAAUGAAAAUAAUAAGUUAGGAAAUUUUUUUACCUGAUAACACAGCUUGAAUUGCAUCCAAAACAAUGGAUAUUGCAAGAAUUGGCAACAUAAUUGCCAUGUAAUUCACAACUUCUUCUUCAUUGCUAUAUGCAUAACCCCAAAUUUUGCGCAACAAAAUCAGGAUCAGUCCCACUAUUAAGCCUUCUAUAAGGGCUAAGAAUAAACCUACAUAUACAGUGAUCUGUGCCGCAUCAUGCCGCCCAGCACCGAGUUCAUUUGAAACACGCGUACUAAAAAGAAGAGAAAAUAAAUAAAUUAAAAUUGAUUUUAAAGAAACAAGGAUCGAUAGAGCGAGAAAAAUCAGAAAUUUAGAGCAUUGCGUACGUAGCUACCUUACUGCGGCACCAAGACCAAAAGGGAGCAUAAAUACCAUGGAAGAAGAGUUAAGGCUGAGGAAACAAAAUGCAUUUGGCUUUAGACAAGAUAAUGAGAAACUAAAAUUGGCAGUUUUUGUCUCUUUUAAACUAAAUAAAGGUAAAAACAAGAACAAUUCCAAAAAUUCAAGCAACAUUUGCUUAUAUAUAUAUACACACACACCCCAUCCCUAUCCUUAAUGUCUUUCACUAAGAUUGAAGCCCUGAUUCUAGAAAUAAGAGGAAAACAAAAGAGGUUCAAGAUCCGUACAAGAGCAUUUGUGCUUGUAAUUUUUUAGACGUCAAAUCGCAUCAAGAUCCAUACAGCACUAUUACCGAUGUGUCCCAUUAAAUCUCCUAUUAGUAUUGUACGGAUUUUAAGACGAUCCGAUGGCUAAAAACUUAUAAGCAUAUAUUUUGAGCUUCUGAACUUUUAAAAGAAUAAGAGCUCAACUCUCUCUCUCUCUUUCUAUAUAUAUAUAUAUAUAUAUAUAUAUAUAUAUAUAUAUAAUANAAGAACCGCUAUAAUUCCAAUUGUACAUUUCUUAGUCCAAAGAUCGAAAACUUAUUUGUACUUUCAAAGGUAUAAGAGCUCAACUCUCUCUCUCUCUUUCUAUAUAUAUAUAUAUAUAUAUAUAUAUAUAUAUAUAUAUAAUAGUUGUUCUAACCUUAUUGAUAACACAGAUGUCUCCAGCUGUGGAUUUGGAAGAAGACCAGAAAGAAGCACAAGAACUUCGAAUGCCGACCAUUCCAUGCUGUAUCAAGAAACACUUCAUCAUGAAAAUACUAAUCCACCAUUAUUUAAUUAUUGUGCUUAAUUUUAGGCUAAACUGCGGCAAUUAUCCUCGAAUAAUAAGUCGAUUAAUCUUGGUAACGUCUCGAACUAAUUUUAAACUUGCUAUGUUCUGAUUCAAACUCUUUUUUUGAGACUUUUUUAAUGAAUGACGUAGCGUUGAUACGACAAUAAUGUGAGUUUCAAAUUGCUAUCACAUAAUAAUGUGAGUUUCAAAUUGCUAUCACAUCAUUUAUUGCUAUUAUUAUAUAGCUCAUUGUUCAAUUGCUAAAAGAGAUGGAAACAAAAAGGAAAUAUAUUAUUAUUGUUUGCAUUAGAUCGGUAUAAAAAAAUAUAUUUUAGACGACGCUUUUUAGAUGACUCUCUAUUCUACCAUAUUUAAUAUUUGAUAUGUGCCGACAUCAUGAUUAAGCACCACCAAUUAUCAAGAGUCUGCCUACUAUACUCUUAUGAGUAUAGUUAUACUCUUAUGAGUAUAGUUCUUUUUGUACUCAUAAGAUUUUUGCCGCUAGAUCUACUUUUUUGAUCAUUUCUACCCGUUAGAUCAUACUAUUCAACCAAUCACCCACUCAACCCUAGGAAACCACUAUUAACUUAACCGGAAACCACUAUCAUUCUAACUGCACAUCUCUUCAUCUAAUGGUCAAAAACUUAUGAGUACAAAGUGGGCUAUACUCAUAAGAGUAUAGUAGCCCUAGCCUUUUUAUCAAAUACUGAUAAAAAUUUUCCGACGCUAUAUUAAAGUAUCGAUAUAUUUAUCCCGACAUGUUGUUUAACAAUUCUUUACUCGACGCUUUUACAAGCGUCGAAAUUGUUCUUGCCGACGCUUUUAAAAUAUCGCUAGUUAUUAUUUAAAGUGUCCUAAAAUAUAAAAUUUAUUAUAGUGUGUACGCUACAAGAUCAUCCAUUUAUACAUCAAAAAAUCACAAUUGAAUGCAUAUAAUUGUGCCCAGCGCAAAUAAUAAUUCGCCCAUGUUUCUAUAUUUUCCCUCUUAAAUACAAACACGACACUAAUGUAAUACUGAUAUUAUUGCAUUAUUAUCAUAGUGUUUUAUACAAUAAUUGAAAUAUCGUGUCAAUGUCAAUGUCGCGUGUGCGCAUGUGUAUAUAUAUAUCAGUUGUCACAUCAAUAUCUCGUCGUGGAGAAACCUGAUUUUCAUAUAAAACUAUAACGAAAUAAGCUGCGAGGAUCAAAGUGUCACUCGGUGCCUCCAAUUUUAGGAAUUGAGAGUGCGACGUUAACAUAAAUUCGAGAUCACGUAUAAAUAUAUAGAUAUAUAUAUAUAUAUAUAUAUAUAUAUAUAUAUAUAUGCAUAAAAUUUUCUUACCAAACCAUCGUAGCCGAGGGAACGGCGAGUUUGAUGAAGCCGAGAACAUCUCUCAGAGCCUCUCUGGAGAAGCCAUUCCAAGUUCUCUCGCAAUUUUUGGAAACUCUAACAUAACAGGCCAAAAUUAACACAUAAACCCAAUAAGAUAUGCUAUUUCCAAAAGCGGCCCCUGCGAUUCCGAGCUCCAAACCAUGCACCAAAAUAUAACACGCUCCGACGUGGACCAGGACCGUGAGCCCGGCGCACAGCAUGAUGGGAAACACGGCGUUUUGCGCUUGCAUGAAUCUGACGUGGCACUGGAGGAGUCCGUAUGCGAACAGGGAGGGGAUCAUGCAGCGUGCGUAUCUCCCCGCCUCGGUUGCUAUUUCCGGGCGCUGUCCGCAUAGAACGAGGAUCUGCGACGUGUGGGCCCAUAGAAACGCGAGCGGUACGCAUGCGAGCGUGAUCACGAGCAUCGCUCGUUGCUUGUGGAUUCCGAGCAUGUAGUACUGCUUCGCUCCGUACGACUGCCCGCAUAAUGUGUCCAGUGCGCUUCCCAUUCCCAUCUGCUCAAAGCGCCCAGCAAUAUAAAAAAUUUUUCGUAUUAACUAUCCAUUUCUUUAGACUUAAUUUAGAAUACUUUAAAUAGUUAAUAUUUUUUUUAUAAUUUUUUUGAUUUUAUUUAUAUAAUAUAAUUCUUUUUAUAUAGUAAUAUUAUUGGUAAAAUUAAUGACGUACUAGGGUCAAAUUGUGAGUCCAUACACCCUGUUAGAUCCGAUCAAAUUAAUCCUCGACAGCCAUCUACAUCGGCGAGCGCAUUUCACACUGGCUCGGUGAGUUGUUGGAGGACACGUUGCUGAGGAGGAGGACAGUAGGCCCGCCAUUCCACACAGCAAAGGAGAAAAGGUUGGGAUCGAUCAUACAAACAAACCCCGCCAUGCCAAGGCGGAGAUAGCGAUAUGCCCAAUCCGCAACCGUCUUGGCAAACACAGGAGUAACGGAGGCUGGCCAUGGCUGAAAAGAUGCCCCUAACUGGGUAGGUUCGCAUUGAUAUAUUAAUAUUAUUUCUUAUUAUCAAUAGUAUUCUAGCUUUAUUCUAUGUAUAAAGUUCACCUGAAAUGCUAUUAUUAAUUGGUAAAUAAAUAGUAUCUACUAUCAACUUUAAAUUUCUAUUAAUACAAUUCACUUAUUCCAGCUAAAUGCGACACAUCUGGAAGCUAAAAAAUUGAUAGCAACUACUAUUCCUUUANUGAUACGUUUUAAACCACAGGGUAGCAAAGUGAGAAUGCACGAAACCACAGGGGGGGUUUUUGAAGUUUUCCAAAAAAAAUUAUUAUUUUAUAUUUUUCAAAAUAUUAAUAAUAUUAUAAUUUUAUAAAAAAUAUUAGUUGGCGGGGCGGAUUCGGGGCGCCGGCGGGAGGCGGGUUACGAGGCGGGGCGGAUUAUGGGAUGUAUUUUUUAACCCGUCACGGAUUCGGGGCGGAAGGCGGGGCGGAUUUUUGCUAGUCGGGGCGGGUCUCCCGCCCCCAAAUCCGCCCCGUUUGCAUCCCUAGUCACAUCAAUAUCUCGUCAUGGAGAAACCUGAUUUUCAUAUAAAACUAUAACGAAAUAAGCUGCGAGGAUCAAAGUGUCACUCCGUGCCUCCAAUUUUAGGAGUUGAGACUUGAGAGUGCGACGUUAACAUAAAUUCAAGAUCACGUAUAAAUAUAUAGAUAUAUAUAUGCAUAAAAUUUUCUUACCAAACCAUCGUAGCCGAGGGAACGGCGAGUUUGAUGAAGCCGAGAACAUCUCUCAGAGCUUCUCUGGAGAAGCCAUUCCAAGUUCUCUCGCAAUUUUUGGAAACUCUAACAUAACAGGCCAAAAUUAGCACAUAAACCCAAUAAGAUAUGCUAUUUGCAAAAGCAGCCCCUUCGAUUCCGAGCUCCAAACCAUGCACCAAAACACAACACGCUCCGACGUGGACCAGGACCGUGAGCCCGGCGCACAGCAUGAUAGGAAACACGGCGUUUUGCGCUUGCAUGAAUCUGACGUGGCACUGGAGGAGUCCGUAUGCGAACAGGGAGGGGAUCAUGCAGCGUGCGUAUCUCCCCGCCUCGGUUGCUAUUUCCGGGCGCUGUCCGCAUAGAACGAGGAUCUGCGACGUGUGGGCCCAUAGAAACGCGAGCGGUACGCAUGCGAGCGUGAUCACGAGCAUCGCUCGUUGCUUGUGGAUUCCGAGCAUGUAGUACUGCUUCGCUCCGUACGACUGCCCGCAUAAUGUGUCCAGUGCGCUUCCCAUUCCCAUCUGCUCAAAGCGCCCAGCAAUAUAAAAAUUUUUUCGUAUUAACUAUCCAUUUCUUUAGACUUUUAAUUUAGAAUACUUUAAAUAGUUAAUAUUUUUUUUAUAAUUUUUUUGAUAUUAUUUAUAUAAUAAAAUUCUUUUUAUAUAGUAAUAUUAUUGGUAAGUAAAUUAAUUACGCACUAGGGUCAAAUUGUGAGUCCAUACACCCUGUUAGAUCCGAUCAAAUUAAUCCUCGAUAGCCAUCUACAUCGGCGGGCGCAUUUCACGCUGGCUCGGUGAGUUGUUGGAGGAGGACAGUAGGCCGCCAUUCCACACAGCAAAGGAGUAAAGGUUGGGAUCGAUCAUACAAACAAACCCCGCCGUGCCAAGGCGGAGAUAGCGAUAUGCCCAAUCCGCAACCGUCUUGGCAAACACAGGAGUAACGGAGGCUGGCCAUGGCUGAAAAGAUGCCCCUAACGGGGUAGGUUCGCAUUGAUAUAUUAAUAUUUUUUCUUAUUAUCAAUAGUAUUCUAGCUUUAUUCUAUGUAUAAAGUUCACCUGAAAUGCUAUUAUUAAUUGGUAAAUAAAUAGUAUCUACUAUCAACUUUAAAUUUCUAUUAAUACAAUUCACUUAUUCCAGCUAAAUGCAACACAUCUAGAAGCUAAAAAAUUGAUAGCAACUACUAUUCCUUUACUAGAGUUAGGCUAUUAUAUUUUGAAAGUAAGGAAAACUUUGUACUUUUUAGUUGUUUUUUGUAAUGAGACAUCUGAUUAUGUGAUCAGUUUCAUUAGACAUGAUUUAUAAUGUUAGAACUCUUUAGAAAUCAAAUUUUAUAAUUUUUUCACUUUGUUUUCCUAGUAAACAAGUAGCCUCAAAAUGAACGGAUAAAAUAAAAAUUAUAUAAAAAAAUAGUGAUAAAAAACUUAAAUUUUAAAUUAUAAGUAUUGAUAUUUCUCUUUAUGGUAAGUAAACUUUUAUUAAAAUUUUACCAAAUUUGCAUUUUUUUUUUAUACCAUUGAACUUACAAACAAACGUGGCACAUCAGUUAUUAUAAUACUCAUUUUUUAGACAUUUUGAUCACUUGGUAAAUUAUAUUGACAAAUUAUGAAAUUUGAUUUCUAAAUAGUUUUAAUAUUGUAGAUGAUUUGUUUUCGAUGAUAGAGCUUCCAAAUUGAUGAUCGGCACUGUUAAAUAAGAUCUAAACUAUUUAAACUAUCUGGAAAUCAAAUUUCACACAUUUUCGAUAUUGUUCUCUGUCCAUCAAGUGAACAGAAAAAUGAAUGGUUAGAAAUGAAUAUCCUUCAAAAAGUGAUGAUACAAUUUUUAUAUUUGAGAUCUAGAGUCUAGAUCUUAUUUAAAAUAGUUUAAAGAAUUUUUUAACAAAAAUUUAGUUGAUUUGAACUCUUCUAUACUGUUAAACGAGCAAACACACCAUAUCAGCCAUUAAAAUUAUAGAUUUUGUGACCCUUUGAUCGUUCAAUUAGUGAUGUCAAAAAAUCAUGAAAUUUGAUUUCUAGAUAAUUUAAAUGGUCUAGAUCAUGUUCAACGGUGCCGAUCGUCGAUUUGGAAGCUCUAUCAUCAAAAAUAAAUUGGUAGUAAACUGAGCAAUUUACUACCGAUAGUAGCCCAGUCAAACUCUAAUAAUUAGAUAAUUUAUCGAUAUAUAUAUGUUACUUGUCCUUAUACAUGUGCAACUUUAUUAUUUCUGCAAUGUGAACUAUUAUGUUGUUUAUCUGGUGAGGGCACCAAACCCAAAGGUGUCUCAUUAUGUCCCCAUUAAUACUGUAUGCAUGUGGCUUUAAAAACGAAGCUCUCUCUAUCUAGAUUCCUCUCAUCAAUUAAAACCAAGCUUUUACUCUAUAGGGUAAACUUCAAAUACCACCCAUGUAGUUUUAUACUUUUUUACUUUAAUAUUCUGUGGUUUAAAGUGUAUCAAGUUAGUACUCUGUGAUUUUAUUUUUUUCUUUUCGUCAGCUCCUCCGUUAAUAUUUUGUUAAAUUAUAUACAAAAAACUUCAGAUACUCCACCUAAGUUUAUCGAAUAUUCAUUUUAGUACCCUUUAGUUUUAAUUUUGUCACUGAUUUAACGAAAAAAAAAUUUAGGGGAAUGGAUAAUAAAAAGAGAAAAAUAAAAUCACAUGGUACUAAAUUAAUACACUUUAAACUACAAAGUAUUAAAGUGAAAAAGUGUGAAACCACAUGACAUAAAUGAUAUUUGAAGUUUUUCCUACUAUCUAUAAAUGAUUAAUCUAAAAAAAAAAGGCCUAAAUUGCAUUGCAUGUUGAUCUACUCUUGCGAAAAACCAAAUCACCAGUGGCUUAGUAGUAAGGUGUUAUAUAUAUGCAUACUUCAGGUUGUGGAUUUAGUUAAUUUGUAUAUGCUUCAAUUUAUAAGUUGUUAUUUUGACUUUGCGUUCAAUAUAAAUAAGUUUCGAGCAAGUUGGAAAUUAGCACUACAAAAAAAAACGGUGUAUAGUGACACUUUUAAAUAUCGAUAUAGGUAAAAAAAAGGUAUUACUGACUAAAUUAUCAACAUUUUUUAAAACUGUUGCUAUAUAUAUGUGGAGGGUCGUUAUAUGUAGGGCACCUUGAUGUUUAACACCCACUCCUCCAGCAACUUGUGGCGGAGGGACACGUGGUGAAAGUAGUCCUCUACGGUUCUUGCGAGAUCCUCGCAGCCGACUUCCAGUCGCCAGAACAGAUCCUCGCGGUUCUUGAGGUUGGUUGAAUAAAGGAAUUUUUUAUUUUUAAUUGGAUUUGGAUUUAUAUUUAGGUCUUAGUAAAUUUUUUAAAAAAGUUUUGACAUAAAUAUGACAUUUACACAAAAGUGCUCCAAAAAUGUGUUUCUAUAAUCUAAUUCUGUUGUAGUAAUGAUUCUGAAGAAAGAGAAACAAUAAAGAAAAAAAAAACUCAUGGAAAAAAAGCAGUAGACAUGCAGUUAAUUAAUUUAAAUUAUAUUAAACUUUAAUUUAUUGUAAUUGAUUUAUGAACUUUAAUUUUUAUUUCUAAUAGAUCCUUUCAUCGAUCAACUUGGAACAUAUUAAAGAACGCAAUUAAAUUGAUCAACUUCUAGUUCAGCGCCAUUGAAAUUUUUGGAGAUAUGAAACGACAACAAAAUUUGAAUGAAGCAUUACAAAGCGAUCGAUCUGAUUACGACAAAAAUUGAAGUCCAGUAAUGCUACAUGACGCGAAUCGAAACAUGCAUACCAAUAAGCUGAAACCGGUGACUGCGGUGAAAGAAGCGGCGGAGGCAGCGGCGGAGAGGGGGAGCUCACCAAGAUGACCAACAAACAUUAGAGAUAUCAUCUGGAUCAUGUUCUGCAUCAGGCUCCCCACAAUGAGAGGCCCUGCUAAGUACACCUGCUUCUUAACCUCACUUGUUAGCAAAACCUUGAAACCUUCUCUCUUAUUAUUAUCAUUAUUAUUACUAUUAGAGGUUGUGACUAGAGGUGCUUCUAAGCUACUUAUUGCCUUCUCCAUCUCUCUCUCUCUCGCUCUCUCUCUCUCUCUCUCUCUCGAGUUUAGAAUGUGGGACUGUGGAGCAAGAGAGAGAUACAAAGAGAGAGGAAGGUAGGUUCCAGGGAUAUGUAUGUGAAUAGUAAGACUAAAUAAUUAUUUCAAAAAUACGUACUGAUUAGACUUGGCAGUAUCAAUCCAUAGCCACCGAUAUCUAUAGAUUGUUCAUAAAUUUACGGAUAUAAAUGCUAGUUUUUUUAUCUAAAAAUUAUAAGUAAAUUAAAAUGGGCGAGUGCUCGUUAAAUUAUGGACAUUUUUGGUAACCUGCAGUUGCCCAUUGAUACCCGCAUAUAUAAUUUCAAAAAAAUAAAAAAAAUAAAAAAGUGAGUACUUUUUUGUUUUAUCAGUUUCUAGCACUAAAUUCUCCUAUUGUUAUUUUUUUUCUUUAUUAUUUAUUGUAUGUUGUGAUUUUGAAAUAAUAAAAUAAGUUUUUUUUAAAAAAAUAACAUAUAUGUUAUUUGUGUUUGAAAAGUAAAAGAGCAAAAAUGGAGGAAAAAAAAAAGUAUCUUGUGGCCCACCCGCAGGUGGGUAUGGGUAAGGGUGAUGACUAUCUAAAAAUUUGCAUAUAUGCCCGUAAAAUCCACGCUUAUAAUGACCGCUCCUGUGUUAUCUAACUCACCGGUUUGUCAGCCGGCUUUUUCUCUACCUAUUUUUCCGAGAUUGAUAAUCUCUCCUUUUCUUCAAAGUCUAAUGCUGAUAGAAAGAGUACAUUCAUCGAAUUUAAGGACACAGCCACAAUGCUCAUGGGCUUCAACUUGACUAAACCUAUCUGAAUGUUAGGUCUAUAAUUGGAUCUCUUCCCGUUAAAUCUAUUGUGGACCACAGGCCUCUCAACUUAUUAGUCUCUUGAGUUUAUUAUCACGAGAUAGGAAGUUGGAUCUAUUUUAGCCAAUAAUAAAUAGUCAACAAUGUUUAGAAGUUAUUGUAAAUAGAAUUGAUCUAAACUUUGAAUCAUUUUAAAUUGACUACCAAACCUUUCAAACUUUUAAUUUUAUUAUCCAACCUAUCAAUUUAUUUGAUUUGAGUCACUCAGUAGUUCUUUGACUUUAAAAGUUUGUAUAGUAAAUAUUGUCAAAUGUAACACAAUCUUUAGCACAGCUUAAUUGAGUAACACUUUUCAAAAAUUCUAACGCUAACUUAGCCAUCUAAACAACCUCGCCUCACCACAGCAAAAAAAAAGUGUAGAAUGCACGAUUUUUAUUGCUAAUAUGGUGUCUCCAACCAAUCAGAUAGCGCCCUUUUGGUUCACCCAUUCUAUCACGGUCUUUUCAGAAAAAUUAUUUUUGUUGUAUUUUUCUCUUAAAGAAAGAGAUGUGAUUGGCUUAAUUUAGAUGAUGUGGUGUGACUGCUACGUAGUAGACUUUCUCGAGACGGAGAGCCCAUCACUCCACUGUGCUUCUUGAACCUUUUAUUUGGACCAGUGAAAAGGAAAGAGCUAAUUAUUAGGGGUUUUCUAUAUUAUACACACAAUCUUAAAAAUUAAAGCUUUAUUAGCCUUUAAGAUUUAUUCCUUUACUAAAAGAAAGGAUAAUUUUGAUAGGAUUUUUUUUAGAAUUGUGACUAAUUCUCGGUACCAUAUAUUUUUUAGAUGGGUAAAUAAUUUUAAGACUAAUUUUAAGACUAUCUUUUAAUCUCUGUUUCCUGGGAAAUCGAUCUUCUGCUAUCAGAGAGUACAAAUUAAUGACUUUACAUAACAUCAUGGUGUGUCCUACACGUCCUAAUUAACAAAACAACUAGUUUAUCAUUGGUGGGUCGAUUAAUCCUCCUUCCCGUCCCACGUUGCUGGCCCGUACACGUUCGUAACGUAGAAAUUUUUCCCCGACUCGACGUGUGACAGAAGGACGGUAAUCGAAUAUUUUCUCACUAGGACGUCACGGCAAAUGUACAAGCGAGAGUUCCAACACGUGACGACGCCCCCGGUGGCACCAUCCGAUUCGAGAUAGACGUAUUUGUUAAGAAAGGAGCCACUUAUACUACGCAGAAAGGUGCGAGAAACAUGUUUCACUUUAGACUCUUGUAAUUAAGCACACUACCACAUUACAAAGCUUAGAAAGGACCUAGCGUUACGCUAGUUCCAACACGUGAUUAAUGCUAGUUUUUUUUUUUUUUUUUUCUUCGCCUGGUCCCUACUUCUGCGAUUUUUUCCGAGGCCAUGGUUGCCUCACUCCUGCGGCCUAAUUUAUCCAUUCAAUGAAUGAAGUAGAUAGCGUGCUACCUAUUCUCAAAAAAAAAAAAAAAAAAAAAAAAAACUAGUUCAACCAAGUAUCCACUCACAUCUACUUUCAAGAGCGAGCAUAGCAUUUCCUUUUCUUUCAAUUCAACUUGCAAAACACUUGAAUAGCGACAAAAAGGCUCAGCUAACCUUUCACAGCAUGUUUGGUUCAUCAUUGGAAUAGAAAUGUACGAUGGAAUUGGAUUACACUGGAAUAAAAAAAAAUAAAAUGAUGAAUCAUCCAAUAUUUCUGCAUGACAGAAGACUGCCACCAAAAUUUUAUUGAUUGAUAAGCAGAAGCAGAAAAGCAGAAAGCACUGCUCUUCCAGCAAUAUUUCUGCAUGAAAUCUCGACGCAGUUCGUAGUAGAUCCUCCUUGUUUCUGUUUCUGGGGUGGCCAACAUGGGUGUGAGAUGAGCUCCAAGAUGACCAAAUAACUGGGGCACCAUGAAACACAACUUAGAUUCGCAGGUCGCAGAUAUAUUUCGUGCUCAUGAUUGUUUACUCGUUAUCUGAUUUCGACUAGUUUCUGGCUCUAAAUCAUGUCGUCAUGUCGGUUGGGAUAGUGGUGCUAAAUACCCUAUCCUUCGCCUUCUUCGCCUGUCAAAUCACCAAACAAUAUCAGAUGUACAGGAAAAAAAAAUUAAAAAUAAUAGUAGCAUAAAUAGCUAAUACUAAAGCCUUUUAAUAACCUCAGCAAUGCUAAAUAUACAAACUUAGUUGAUAGAAAUAGUGAUUAUUGUCUUUGUGGGAAAAUAAAAUUAUCUUUGGCUCGCAAAAUAAGAUUAAUGCAAUGUUAAAAGAUAAUUUUGUUUCCAAUACCUCUUUAUCCCAGUUUGUGCAAAGGGUGAUGAUUAAAAGCAAAAACACUUGUAGAACAACGCCGCAUAUGAUUCCCAUCCAAAGCCCCUGUUCGUAGCCAUAUAUGUUUGAGACCGCAAAAGUUUAGUCGAAUGCAAUAUAUUGGCCGAAAUUUACGGAAAAGAUAGAAGAAAAUGAAAAUGAGGAACAAAUUUACCUUCCCUCCAACAUGAAAAACAAAUGCUAUUAGAAUGGCCGAAGGAAUUCCUACAAUGUAGUAAGCCCCAAGAUUCACAAAAGCGCCGAUCUUCUGCCAACCGCAUCCUCGCGCAACCCCUACAUGUUCAUGAAUCACCACCAAUUACAUGUAACCAUAGGGCCUAUAUGUGAGAAACCAAGUUUUCGAAGAAUGUGUAUGAUGUACGCGAUAAACAUAUAUAGUUAACUCUACAUGUAUUUUCCAUGAUUGUUUACCUGAAAGAACACUUUGAAUGCCGUCGAAGAAGUUGGAUGUUGCGAGAAUCGGUAGCAUGACGCCGACAUAUUUCACAACCUCCUCUUCAUUGCUAUAGGCAUAUCCCCAGAUGCCGCGCACCAGAAUCAUGAUUAGUCCCACUACUAAUCCUUCUAUGAUGGCCAAGAAUACCACUAUGCGUACUGCGAGGCGAGCGGCAUCAGGCCGCCCAGCACCGAGUUCAUUUGAGACGCGUGUGCUACGAAAAAAGAGAUAAAAAAUUAUCUUUUUCGUUUAGUUUUAAAGAGGUGGAAAUGAUCCAAAUGAAAGAGGAGAUAAGAAUGUUGAGAAGUAGUUGUUUGCACUUUGCGCGACUAACCUUAUUGCAGCUCCAAGACCGAAAGGAACCAUGAAUACCAUCGAAGCAGUGUUAAGGCUGAAGAAAACGAGAUGCUCUUAGUACAAGAAUAUCAGAAACUAAACUUAAUGAUCAUUCCACUUAUUAAAGCAAAUAUAAACAAUGUCAAAAGGUUGAAAGUUGUGCUAACCUUAUCGACAACACGGAUGUUUCUAGCUGCGGGUUUGGAAGAAGACCAGAAAGAAGCACGAGAAGCUCGAAUGACCACCAUUCCAAGCUGUCUCAAAAAGCACUUCUAGUUAGAAAUAGUGAUCUGAUCAUAAACAUAAUUAGAUGAUGAAUCACAAGUUUAAUUAUUUUCCUACCAAACCAUCAAAGCUGACGGAACGGCGAGUCUGAUGAAGCUCAAAGUAUCAUGAAAAGCCUCUUUCGAAAGGCCAGUCCAAGUCUUCUUGCAGUCAUUCGACAGUUGAACAUAAGCUUCCAGCAGUAACACAUUUAUCCAGUAUGAUAUAGCAUUUGCCAGAGCAGCACCUUUGCUGCCGAGGCCUAAUCCAUACACCAGCACCCAACAAACUCCGAUGUGAAGCAAUGCCGUGAGCCCCGAGCUUAUCAUAACCGGAAGAACGAUGUUCUGCGUCUGCAGGAAUCGGACGUGGCACUGCAGAAGGCCGUACGCGAAGAGCGCGGGGAUCAUCCAUCGAGCGUAUAUUCCAGCUUCGUAUGCGAUCUCCGGGUCUUGCCCGCACAGAACAAGGAAUUGCCCUGUGUAGGCCCAUAUUACAGCGAGCGGAACGCUUGCGAGCAUGAGCACUAGCAUCGCCCUCUGCAUGUGAAUGCCGAGCAUGUGAUACUGCUUCGCUCCGAAGGAUUGCCCGCAUAGAGUAUCCAAAGCACUUCCCAUCCCCAUCUAAUCAAAGGAGAAGGGACAGACUAACAUUUUCACCAUAUAACCUUCGUUUGAUAAAAAGGCAGUGCAGACUACUUUUCUAAAGAACAGAUGUUCUUUUUGCGGCGCGCAUAUCAAAAUAGAAUAACAAACCGCAAACAGCUAAUUGAAGCAUCAAAAUAGUGAAUUGUUCAUCUUCUCAAGUUUUAGUCAAGAUCCUAAUUCGCAAACUAGGCUAUACCAGUACUGUGCUAAAAGAAUCUCUACUCCGAUAACUACGACUCCAGAAUAGCCAGAGAAUUGGAAACAGCUUAAAGCUCAUGACAAAGAAUGAAAAGCUAUACUCAUAUUUCAUUUCACCCUUUUCGCCUUCAACUAUUUCACUCGCCACUUUUCUCUACCAAUAUACUCUCUACUCACACGAAAAACUGUUCUCCGAGUAAAUUUCUCAUCUUCUUUUCCUCCUUUCUAACUUAAUCAUUGAAGUAUACUUCUUGCAUCAAAACUGUAACAAAGAACUGCUGAGAACUGAUUUAUGCUUCCAAAUUGUUUGCUGUUUUCUAAGGAGCUAACUUAACUACUUAUCAGCAAAACAGGGCAAAAGGAAUCGGCUGAUAAGCUUUUCAAGGAUCACAAGAAAAUCAUUUUUCAUGAAAAUCUUUGUUUACAAAAUAAUAUAAAUCUGAAUUUUUGAUAUACAGGUACCCUAACUUUGUUUCUUUUUUCUUCUUUUUCUUUCUUUUUCUUUUUUCCAUUUCAUAGUCAAAAUUGUUGAAUCAGAAUUCAGAAAAGGACUGGUGACUAGUUUCUACAGGGAGGAAAUUUUGUUGUAGAAAUUGACAAUCAAGUAAGCAAUAUUGCAAAACAUUGCAAGAAGAAGAAAAAAAAAAAGAAAAAUAGAAAAGCAGUAUCUUGGAAAAAUCUCAAUUUGAACACUGGUUACAAAGGACAAAAGCAAACAAGAAAAACAAAAGAUAGAAGGUUAAUGAGAGAUUUCCAGCCCCAAAGACAACUCAAAGGCAACUCAACUUUCUCUGAAAAGGAUUGAAACUGCCCCACUUUUGGAGAAAUGUGUAUCCCACAUAAUAUUAGAAUUUUCAUUUUCUAAAGAUCAAUAAUGAGGGAUUUUGACAAGAUUUUGACUCAAUAAGAUUUCUCACAUGACUCUGGCCCCUCCGAGUUGCUAAACCGCUCUCCUUUACCUGCAUCGCUCUCUGGACUUAUUCUAUUCAUCUUAUUUUAUGCAAUCCAAUUAUGAAUGUCAAAUGCAUCAUAUGAAUAUAAUAAUAUGAGCAAGUAAUAAAGAAGGCAAAUGAAAGAAUUGUAAUGCAAACAUACCAACAAGCUAAAACCAGUGACCCCAGCAAAGGAGUUGGCCAUGGAAGCCCCAGAGAGGGGUAGCUCCCCAAGAUGGCCUACAAACAUUACAGAUAUGACCUGUAUAAUGUUUUGCAAAAGGUUCCCUGCUAUAAGAGGCCCUGCUAACCACACUUGCUUCUUAACCUCACUCACAACCUCCCAUUCUCCUCUCUUCUUAUCACAGCUUGUGAGUAGAGGAACCUCCAUACUUGGCUUCUCUCUCUCUCUCUCUCUCUCUCUCUCUCUCUCUCUAAGGAGGUGAUUGAGUUUGUUUGAGAAGGGGAAGGGGAAGGAGAAGGGGAAGGGGUGGAAGGGGGUUGUGUUAGGUAUUUAUAGGGUUAUGAAUGUGAGGGUAAAAGUGAAGGCACAUGGGAGAAACUAAAUAAAGAUUUGUUUUGUUGGCAUAUUCUUUUUGUUUGUUUUGAUUUUUUAUCUUUUUUUUUUUUAAUAUGAUUAACAUGUAUUUUUAUUUGAGUUGAGUUACGUUGCUUUUUAAAAACUUACAACUUUCACGGACUGUUCCUAGAACAAGUGGCAAAGGACUUGGUGGUUGGUAGUCGAGACCCAAGUUCGAAUCCUGGUUAAUUCACAUUUUCAGCCAAAUUUAUUUCUAAAUGAAAUAAACGAAACAGGUAGCGUCCUACCUAUCUCUCAAAAAAAUAAAAAAGAAAAUUACAACUUUCAAUUUUGAGCCUUUGGAUCUUAUUAUUAUUAUUACCGUCACCAACUAGUAAAUCUUAGAAAUAUACCGGCUUGAAAGUUAAAAAAAUAUAUAUAUUUCUGAAAACAUAGUAGUCCCACACUUUUUAUUUUUAUAUUUAGCAGGUACACUAUGCUCCACGUGUUUUCUAUGGAGGCAAAAGUGAUCCAAACCAUGUUGAAAAGCUGGGGUCCAACUGGUCGGUUCGACCGGUCCUAUCUCGACUCAGUAUAUAAAAUUAUUCUGUUCAAUCUUUUAAAUCGGAUAAGUUAAAAAAAAUCACUUUGAACUGUUCUAACUAGCGGUUCAACCAUCGAACCGAUGAAUCGGUCCGAUUUUAAUUUAACCAGCUAGAUUUUUUUUGAUUAAGUCAUAUUAAAUUCAACACUUAGCUAAUUUUAUUUUCCAUUAGCAUAAAUUAGUCUUAUAAAAAGUAAACCUUGAAAACUUAUAUCUACUAAGUUUGGUAUUGGAAUCAAUAUUUUAUAAUUAAGUACAAUACUAAAAUAAUAAUAUAUAUAUUUUUUUGGAGUCCGACUGUUAUGCUAUUAAUAGUACGAAGUACUUGGUGCUACCAAGUUUUGCACCGUUAGAUCUACCCUUUUGAUCAUUUUCACCCGUUAGAUCAUACUAUUCAACCAACCACCCACUUAACUCUUGGGGGCCCACAUCAUUCUAACCGUAUAUCUUUUAAUCUAAUGGCCAAAAACUUAGUAGUACCAAUGACUUGGUGCUAUUAAUAGUAUAGUAGCCUAGUUCAUUUUUUUAUAUAAUAAAUUUAAAAAUAAUAACUAAAUAUUUAUGAUGUGAUGUUGAUUCCACUAGUUCAGCCAGUGGUUGACCCACUAGUUGAUCCAAAGGCUUUUUACUCUGUAACAUUUUUAGGUCGUUGUUCGACCCAAUUUUUAAAACAUUGUGGUGCAGGACACAAAUGGCACCCAAAUUUUGCACAAUCCAAUGCCCAAACAUUUUGGAGCUAAUUAUAUGGGAAUACGUAAAAUUUCUGCAUACUGUAGUCCACUUGGUAUUAAGGUGUCUAACUAUUUGGCAAACAGAAUUUGCAUAUAUAAAGUUAUAUUUUCCUUUUUUUUUUUUCGUAGAAUUACAAAAUUUAUAUUUUAACCAAAAAAUUGCGGUAUACGUUUAUUACUUUCGAAAGCAUAUUAUUUUUAUAUAGGGAUAAUUACCUAUAUGCCCCUCAUAUGUUUGAAAAUAUCCGAUUUACCCUUUUUUUUCUAAAAUAUCACUCAUAUGUUCCACCGUUAUUGCAAAAUACUUCCGCAGUUAUCUCCUGUUAAGUUAAUCUGGGUUAAACAUGAGUUAAAUAUCUACCACAGUUAAAAAAAAUUAAAAUGCCAAUUUUAUCCUUAACAUAGGGGUAAAUAAAAAAGGUUGGUGAUGGUAGAGAAAUAUAUUGGAAAAGACUAAAAGUCAAAACACUUUUUGUGCCCCUGAUUUUAAGGACAAAUAAGAAAGACAGUGAUGGUGGAAUGGUAUAUUUGAAAGGGCAAAAUAGUAAUUUUACAGAGAUAACAGAGUUACUUAACAUAUUUUAACUCUAAGGGUAUAUUAGAAAUAGGUUGGAACGUAGGAGAGUUAUUUUCAAUAUUAGCCUUCUAAGAGGAGUAAAUCAGAAAGUUAGGAACUUUUCAGAAAUAUAUAAGUAAUUACCCCCUUUAUAUAAUAUUUUAUUAUCGUAGGUAAUGCAAUCUGCUUGCAAUUUGGAACGAAACCUAAAAUUCUAUCUAGAAUUGUAGGAUGUAUGUGUUUUGUACGCUACAGAAUGUCAUCAAAUCAUAUUGGUCGCAAUGAUUGAUUAAGAUAAAAUUUUUAAUUACGAUCCUGUAGAAAAAUAUAAAAAUAUAUUUUAAUAGUGUUAGGUACCAAAUAAGAAGUAAGUGGUCACACAUUAAUUUUUUAGAAAAGACAAAGGUCCUUAAAAAGCUAUUUUCGAGCUAGCCCUAAGAAGUGUCACUUGUAUUUUAUUCAAAAUUUUCAAAUAUUACGUUAUCAAAAAAAAAAAAAAAAAUCAAGUUUGGAGAUUCAAUUUUUGAGGUCUAAGAUUAAACAUUUACUAUUGAAAUUGCAAACCUUUCAUAUAAUCAUUAUUUUAUAUUAUUGCUUCACAUCGUAAAGAAACUACUCUGUCAUGUUACUAGAAACCAAAAGCCAAAUAAUUUAAUUGUGGGAAUAGUGAUUUGCAAUAAAGCACAAAUCUGAAUAAAACAAAAUCUAAUUAAUCUGAGGUGGUUUGUUUAACUUUAACUAUUUUAUUUGGAUAAUUCGUACUGAGUUAAGAUGCUGCAAAUAGAAUAAUAGCAAUUAUUAUCAGAUGAAACCAUUAAUUAAAUGACUUGGUUUGAUCUAAAAGUCAUAAACAAUGUCGCUUCUGUAAACAAGGUCAUAAAAAAAGAGAAAUGCUUAACAUAAACCUCCAAAUGGGAUAUAUAUAUAUCUUUUAUUCAAACUGUCCAGAAGUUAAAACGACCCACUUGAGUUUUAUUAUUAUUAUUAUUAUUAUUAUUAUUAUUAUUAAAAGAGAAUGUCAUAAGUUUAAUGAGAUAGAAUUAAGUAUUAGAUGAAUAAAGAUUAUAAAUACUAACCAACUAUUUCAAACAUAUACGCUGAUAGAAAGAAAUUAAUCACCCGUCGCACUUAAAAGUUCAACUACAACACACAAAGAAUUCAACCUCACUUAAUUUAUCUGAAUGUUAGAUAUAUUGUUAGGCCUCUUACCAUUAAUAAAUAACCAACGAUCCUCUCAACCUAUCUGAAUAUUAGGUCUAUUGUCGGCUCAAAUACAAUACUCGUGGAUAGGCUUAUCUAAGAUUGAAUCUAUUUUAAGCAAUAAUAAAUAACCAACAAUACCCUCAACAUCUGCAUCGUUAAUACAAUAUGUGGGAAUCAAAUCCGCGUUACUGACUCUGAAACUAUUUGUAGAUCGUAAAUACUAAUCAAUUAUUUCGAAAGCAUGUGUUGAUGAAAGAGCGCACUGGUCGCACUUAAGGGUUCAAAGUGCUCACGGAUUUCGACCCGACUCAACCUAACUCGACGUUAGAUUUAUUGUUUAACCUAACUUGACAUCACGUCUAUUGUAGAUCUCAGUUUCACUCAAUUUAUUACGGUUCAUCCACCUCAGAUUAUUAUUUUUCUAAUCCUAUUACCAGGGGACAGAAGCCCUAUUUUAGGAGGAAUUCUACACUGUCACACUUGCACCACGUCAUCAAUAACAAGCCAAUCAUAUCCCUUCUUUUCAAACAAAAGUACAAUAAAAAUACUUUUUUACAAUCAUGAUGGGAUAUAUAUAUUCUUAAAAGAAUUAAUUUGAUUGGUUUGUUACGCUACGGCACUAAUAUACCCGUUGCAUUCUAGAAUUUUUUCUAUUUUAGACAAUAAAAGAAAAAUAUGUACUAAAUCAUGCCAAAGAAAAAGACCAAAAAAAAAAAAAGAAAAAAAGUAUGGCUUUUGGAGGAGUGAGAUAAAAGACGAGACAUCUGAUAUCAGAAAAGCUGAGACUGAUAUACAAACAUCUUCUGACUACAUUGGUUGGGUAUAUUUUGUCUCCAUAUAUAAAGGGUGAAUAUUCCAAAUAUUUAUUAACUAUUUAAUUAAUUAAUUAAAACUUGAUUCCCAAGAUAUCUAUGCAGGAAGUUGCCGUGACCAAUUCCCACUUCACAAAUAAUAAUAGUAAUAAAUAAAUAAAAUAAAAUAAGAAAAACCCAAGAAAUUCAGAUUUUUUUUUUUUGAGAGAUAGAUAGCACGCUAUCCGCUUCGUUUAUUUCAUUUAGAAAUAAACUUAGCUAGAAAUAUGAAUAAAUUAGGAUUCGAACUUGAGUCUCGAGUACCAACCAUUAAGCCAUAUAGGGGAUUAACUAUCCUUGUUAAUUUUAGGUCUUAGGUGGAAAUUAAGUACAUAUAUUGACACUUCUAUAAAAUUAUUAGGGUAAACUUCAAAUACCUCCCGUGGUUUCACACUUUCUCACUUUAGUACCGUGUGGUUUAAAGUGUAUCAAGUUAGCUUAUGUGGUUUCGUACUUUUUUACUUUAGUACCCUGUGGUUUAAAAUGUAUCAAUUUUGUACCUUGUGGUUUCAUUUUUCUCUUUUUAUUAUUCAUUUUACUAAUUUUUUUCGUUAAAUCAGUAACAAAGUUUAAAACUAAAUGGUGCUGAAGUAAAUAUUCGAUAAACUUAGAUAGUGUAUUUAAAGUUUUUUUAUAUAUAAUUUAACGAAAUAUUAAUAGAGGAAAAAAAUUAAUGACAAAGUUAAAACAAAAGGAUAUCAAAAUAAAUAUUCGAUAAACCUAGAUAGGGUAUUUGAAAUUUUUUGUAUAUAAUUUAACGAAAUAUUAACAGAUGAGCCGAUGAAAAGAGAAAAAUGAAACUAUAAGAUACUAAAUUUAUGCACUUUAAAUCAUAGAAUAUUAAAGUGAGAAAGUACGAAAUCACAUGGUACUAAAUUAAUACACUUUAAACUAUAGGGUACUAAAGUGAAAUAAUGCGAAACCGGAGUGGUAUUUAAAGUUUUCCAAAAUUAUUAUUUUGUUUUCUUGCUUGGUGGUCACGAGUAACUUUCUGUGUGACCUCAAUCUAUUCAAUUAUCAAAAAAGAGUGUGGCUAAAAUAUUACCAAUAGUAAAUUAAUGAGUUUUGGUAUCACUAUUUUAUUUUUUAAUAAUAAGAUAUUAAUUAUAUCAUUAAAUAUAAUCUAAAAUAUAUAAAGUAUUUAUAAACUAAUUUUUAUGUCUUUGGAUAUAAAUUAUCAAAUGGUCCAACGGACCCAGUAGGGGUAUUUAUUCAUUAGUGGCUGAGAAUAAUCCAAAAUAAUUAUAUUUUUAUUAGAAAAAUCUAUAAACUAUUUGAAUCAAGAUCAAUACACUGGAUACUGGACGCAAGAAUAUUGUCCUUGAUUUUUAGGUUUUAGCGUAUUUGCUUUCUCCUGUAUAUGUAAGCGGCCGCUUGAUGCACAAAAAGAUAAUUUCGAAAAGUAUAAUUUUAAUUUUUUAAGAGAAAUGCAAAGUUUACGAUCCAUUUUGGGUUGUAACAUAAGCAAUCGUUAAUCCUAGGGUUAUAACAACACUCUAACAUUUACUUAGUAAUAAGACUAGUAUAAAAUUUAUGAUCUUUGGAUUCGAUUGCUAUUUAAACCGAGAUGCGGUUCUACAGGUAUCAUUGCUCAUAUUUUAAAUGGUUUAAAUUACAUAGUAUCGAUUUGAAUAUUUUAUCAUUAUAAAUAAAUCAGUAGUAUCAAACACAUUUAUCAAUACUUAUUUAAGUAUUUAGCAACCGUCGGAACCCUAUCUCGUCGGUUGCGUCGCGGAGGAGGAGAAGGAGAAGAGCGAGGGGCUCUUCGUCUAGUAUUUCAGUGGAUUGAGUGAGUGAAGAAGAGGAGAUAAUGAUCGAUUUUUCUUCUUCUUUUAUUUUUCUUUUCUGUUUGUAAUCGGAACAAAUAGGUUCGAUGGGAUGGGCUGAAUAAAAUAAUCUUUUAUUUUUGAUUGAAUUAGAAUUCAUAUAUAUUUAGGCCUUAGUAGAAUUUUUUAAAAGUUUUGUCAUAAAUGAGACAUUUACACAAAAAUAUUCUAAAAAUAUGUUCCUAUAAACUGAUUCUGUUGUAACGUGAUCAUAUCCAAAAGCUGCAAAUAAAUAAAUAAAUAAAAUAAAAUAAAAAAAUCAGGGUGCAGGUCCACAUAGUUUACAUUAGCGGAGCCCUGCAUCCGCAUAACAUUUUUAUGCGAAGGUUGGGAUUAAAGAGGUCCUCAUGAAUUUGAAUAAUUGUUAGUGUAAAAACAAAAAAAAAAAGAUCUUUUCUUUAAUCCAUUUAGGAAUCAAAGUUGAUUUCCAUCUCUAUGGAAGAAAUCAUUUUCGAAAAAUUUGAUUUUUUGAUAUAAAAAUCAGAAGGUCACAUUUCCAUCUCUAUCGAAGAAAUUAUUUUCGAAAAAUUUGAUUUCGUGAAAUAAAAAUCAGAAUGUCAAUCCCAUAGCUCAAAUACUAAUAAUAAAGAUGAAUUAUUUUCGAUUCUGAUUCCAAAUCUUAGUAAGUCCAUCAAAUCAAACACAUCUUUAGUUAAUUCUUUUCCUUAGUCUAAUAUGGGCGUUGUUCUCAAUGCGUUUUAAUACAAAUUACCAAUUAAGUUUGGAUUUUCUUGCACAGCAACAAUUCUAUUUUAUGAUAUUUUCCAACAUUUUAUCUGUCUUUUUAUAUUAUUUAGAUUAGUUGAUUGAGUCAAACAUGACAAAAAAAAAAAUCUCACAUUAUUGAAUGGACAAAUCGAAUUGUGUAAGGUCUCCUUAAUUAAUAUUCUUAGACUUGGCGUACGUACAUACAGAUUGGACAUCUCACGUGCAGAUCAUUGUACCCAUAGGUUAUGCAGGCGCAGAUAAAAUUUACCCAUAGAAUUUUGGAUAUCUAUCAUCCUUACUUAUACCUGUCCGCGGGUGGGCGAGCUGGUAUAUCGGUUACUCGUAAUAUUUUCUUUUCUUUUUUUUUUUUCUCUUUCUAUGGUUAUACUUUUCAAACACAAAUAAUAUAUAUCAUGAAAUGUAGGCCAGAAAAGGCAGAAUGAACUGCAGGCUGCAGGGCCAAGCAGGCCUUAAUUUUAAUGGAAGAAAGAGAAUUACCAACAAGCUGAAACCAGUGACAGUGGCAAAGGAGGUGGCCAUGGAAGCACCAGAGAGAUCCAGCUCCCCAAAGUGGCCAACAAACAUCAAUGAUAUCACCCUUAUAAUGUUUUGCAAAAGGUUCCCUGCUAUGAGAGGCCCUGCUAACCACAGCUGCUUCUUUACUUCACUUUGUAUGACCCCCUCUAACCCUUCUCUCCUAUUUCUGGAACUUGUGGUGAGCAGAGGAGCCUCUAGGCUUAUUGGUUGCUCCAUCUCUCCUUAAUCACACAUACUCUCUCUCUCUCCCUAGAUCUCUCUCUUUCUCUCUAAGUGGCUAGAGAGGGAGGAGUGGCCAUUUUGAGAAAAGAAGACAAUUUGUCUUUCUCUUUGUUGUGAGGGCAAAUUAUGUCACUUGCCAAUUAUUAAUAAAGGUAUAAAAGAAUAUAGAACUUAACUUAAUUAUAUAUAUAGGGUGUUUUUGAAAAGUGAUUUCAGAGUCAAAAGUAACUUUCGGCCUAAUUGGACGUUCGACAAUCUUAUUUUCAAAAUCUAAUUCUGAUUUAAAUUAGAAUUAGCUAAACUUGCUUUUUGAAAUCUGGUUCUGAUUUUGGAAUCAAAUUUCAAAAUUUUAUUUUAAUUUUCGACUUAAAAUUUAAUUUUAAUUUUAAUUUUAAUUUCAAUUUUUAACAUUUAUUUUUGAAUUUUUAAAUUUUAAAUUUCAAAUUUUUAAAUUUGAAAUGUCCAAUUUUAAAUUUGAAUUGAUUUAUAUUUUAGCCUUUAAUUUACAGUGUAGAUUUGAAAUGUUUUCAUAAUUGUCAAAUAUAUUUUUUAAUUCAAAAAAAAUUUAAAUUUUUAGAAUAACUUAGUUUUUAUUCAAUUUAAUUAUUUGGAAAUAUAUUUGUAAAAUAUUUAUUUAUGCAAAUAUUAUUUUUGUCAACUUUAAAUUUUAUUACUCCAGAAAAAUUUUUUUAAUCUAAACUCAGCCAAACGCUUUAUAGCUUUUAACCAAAAUUAUUUUUCUAAACCAACAUCAAUUCUACAGAAAUCACUUUUCCACAAUCUAAGCAAAACGGGCCCAUAGACAUUUUGAAUUUUCUAUCUAACCUUUCAAAAUUUUGAUUUUAUCAUUUUACCCUUCAAUGUAUUUGAUUAGAGCUCGUCAACGGUACUGUGAUUUCAAAAUUUAAGUUAAUUAUUUUCUUUAAUAAACUUAUAUAUUAUUGCGAGAAUCGUAUGAAAUAUACUAACUAAACUUUUAAAAUAAAUGAUGCAUUCAAAUUUUGAAUUCAAAAUAUUGUUCACUAACUGAAAUCAAAUAAGUUGAAACGGUAAAAUCAAAAUUUUGAAAGGAAGCUAUAUCAAAAUGGUCCAUAGUUUGGAAAAGUAUUAAUUGUAUGUUUCUAUCUUAUUAAAAUAGUAAUGCUACAUGUACGCCCAAAAAGUAUGCAUAAAUCUUAUACCUUACCAAUUUAAUAAUCAAUAUUUUCACAUUACUUCAAUUAAAUUUUAAUAUUUAAAAUCCAAAGAAGCUUUCUAAAAUUUUGGAUGGUGUAGUGUAAGAUUUACAUCUCACAUUUUUUAUAUACAAAUAGUAUUUCUUUUACUAAGAAAAUGAUUACUAAUAAUAGAUCUGCAGAUCUAAUUUGUAUUGUCUUUUUUUUUUUUUUUUUUUUUUUUUUAAAAAAAAGAGAGAUAGGUAGCACACUACCCGUUUCGUUUAUUUCAUAAAAGAAAUAAACUUAGCUAGAAAUAUGAACAACUAGGAUUCGAACUUGGGUCUCGGGUACCAACCAUCAAGCCCUUUACCACUUGCUUUAGGGACGGUCGGUAUCAAAAUUGUAUUAUCAGUUAACAGUUUAUAAGGCUUGUGAUGCGGCCAAUUUUGCAUUAGAAUUCAUGGGGAAGCUUGACUAUAAGAAGUUAGGUCGAAAAUUCCAUUGAGUUCGGCAAAUUCUACAAACAAUUUGUAAACUUUUUUAAGCCGUCAUAAUAUUUUUUUGCGUAGUUGUCCGCUUUAGUAUGCAAGUCCAAUUUGAAACAUUUUUUAAGAUCUAUGCACCUAACAGCACUGUUUCUGCUGAGUUUCUGACCCAAAUUUAAUUAUUUACACCUCCCAACUUGCACUUUUAGACUACUUUUGAAAAGAAUUUAUAUUUUUCCUGUUUUGAGACAAAUUAAUGAGUUGGUUAUAGUUAUUCUGGUCAAAUUAAAUUUAGAAAUAGGCUAAAUUAUAGAAAACCUUUCUCUCAAUAUCCGCUUUUUAUGUUAUUCAAAAACCUACACUUAUUCCUUUAAAAAAUAAAAAAUAUUCACAUGGGGGUACGCUGUGGCAAAACAACCAAAUUGCCCAUCAUCUUCUUCAAGAUGGGUGUAGACGGAGAGGUGGGCGAGGACGAGGGCGAGGGUGAGGUGGCGGAGGCGGGCGAGGGCGUGUGUGCGGGCAUGGACAGAGAGGUAAGCGAGAGUGGGGCGGCGGACGGCGAGGCGGCGCGGCCGAGGAUGAGGAAGAAGAAGGAUUUCGGGAAUAUUUUGGGUAUAAAAAAUAGAAUGUAAAUGGAACUCUAACGGAACACUAACGAUGGGAUUAAAAUGAAUUUUUUUUUUAUUUUUUAAGGAGGCAAAGCGUAGAUAUUUGAAUGACAGGGGGGAAAGUGAAAAACGGAUAUUGACAUAAUUUUUUUUAUAACUUAGCCAUAUAAAUAUUUUAUAUUAUGUUAUUUUUUAUACUAGCAGGAUUCUGAUAUCACCUAUGUAAACAUAUGACAUUCGAUUAAUGUAAGCAGUCUAGAGUUUUGAUGAAUAAUAUUUUUCUCUUUUUGAAUAAUUUUUUUCUUCACGUCUCACUCUUUCUUUAUUUAUACUCUUUUCCUCUCAACGCAAUUUAGACCUGCGUCAAUUUGGAAGUACUUAAGAGCAAUCUAAAAAAGAGAAUUAAAUACGCAAUCUAGACCAUUCAUUGCUCUUCAAAUAUAAAGAGUUGUAAGAAAAAGACAUUAAUUCAAACUAUAGCGCAAAUAAAAUUAGUGACAAGCGGGUAAAAUUGAGUAAUUAGUUUCUAUUUUGUUUGUGGGUCCUUCAUUAAAUCUGAUUGUUAAUUAUUUUUAUACGUGAACUGUAACUAAAAGAUAAUAAAAUAAAAUGGGAUAAUUGGCAAAAUAGAUUCGGGAUACGUGAAACACAUAAAAAGUAAAAUGUUGUUCGAAGACGACGCUACCCAUCUCUUGCUAUCAGAUCCGUCCCGUUCGCAUCCCCAUCUCUCGCUAUCCUCCCCCCCCAGAUGCGACCUAUUUCUAGCGAUCAGAUCCGUCGCGUUCGCAUCCUGAUCGCAUCCGAAUCUCCACAUCCACCCACCCACCCCGGACGGGACCCAUCUCUCGCUCUCAGAUUUGUCCUGUUCGCAUCCCGAUCGCAUCCGAAUCUCCACACCCACCCACCCCCCAAUCUCUCGCUCUCAGAUUCGUCCCAUUCGCAUCCCGAUCGCAUCCGAAUCUCCACACCCACCCACCCCCCAAUCUCUCGCUCUCAGAUUCGUCCCUUUCGCAUCGCCAUUCGUCCCAAUUAAUUGAUUUGUCCACCAUAUAUGUUCCUGUUCCUAUAAUGUUUUUAACUUUUGGAUCUACCUUUUGGGCUAUUGAAUAAAAAAUUUAGUAAUAAAGUUAUUGGCGGGGUCUAUUAUUGUGUAUGACAUAAGGAUUGUUAGGGUUGAUCCAAUGAGCCAAAAAGGUUAUAACACCAACAUUUUAGCGCUUCUAAAAGCAUUUCGGUUGGUCUCUCUCUCUCUCUCUCUCUCUUUUAUAUAUAUAUAUAUAUAUAUAUAUAUAUAUAUAUAUAUAUAUAUAUAUAUCGGCUACUGUACUCUUAUCAGUAUCAUCGUCUUCGUACUCAUAAAUCGUUUUCGAUGAUAGAACUUCCGAACCGACAAUCUGUCAGAUCGUUGGCGCUAACCAUUAAUCCCAAAAGCUCGAGCUGUUAAAAAUAUAUAACCAAUUCACUUAAAGCGUACAGAUACAACGCCCACAGAUCUCGAUUAUGACUCGGCCCACCCAGCCUCACGCCACUUUGAACAUGGCUUGGCUUACCUAGCCUCACGCCACUUCGAACAUAAUUCGGCCCAACAUAGCCUCCCGCCAUAAGGCAGGACUCUAGCAUCUGCAACAUGCAGGAAUUGAACUCUUGACCUCUGCCUCUGAUACCACUUGUCAGAUCGUUGGCGCUAACUAAAAAGCUCAAGCUGUUAGAAAUACGCAACCAAUUCCACUUAAAGCGUACAAAUACAGCGCCCACGGGUCUCGAUUGUGACUCGGCCCACCCAGCCCCACGCCACUUAUAACAUGACUCAGCCCACCUAUCCUCACGCCACUUUGAACAUGACUCGGCCCAACAUAGCCUCUCGCCACAAGGCAAGAUGCUCUUAGGUUCAUCCCAUUCGCAUCCCCAUCUCUCGCUCGUUGCUAGAUCCAUCCCGUUCGCAUCUCCACCCCCUCCCUUCCUACCCAUUUCUGGCUAUCAAAUAUGUCCUAUUCGCAUCCCGAUCUCUCGGCAUCCCCAUCUCUCACUCUCAGUUCCGCCCCAAUUAAUUGAUUUGCCCACCAUAUAUGUUUCUAUAAUGUUUUUAACUUUUGGAUCUACCUUUUUGACUAUUGAAUAAAAAAUUUAGUAAUAAAGUUAUUUAUGGGGUCUAUUAUUGUGCAUGAUGUAAGUAUCGAUAGGGUUGAUCAAAUGAGCCAAAAAGAUUAUAACACCAACAUUUCGGCGCUUCUAAAAGCAUUUCGGUUAAUGGUCUCUCUCUCUCUAUAUAUUAUAUAUAUUUCUAUAGAGUGCGGCUACUAUACUCUUAUGAGUAUUAUCAUUUUCGUACUUAUAAGUCAUUUUCGAUGAUAGAGAUUUCGAACCGACAAUCCAUACCGUCAAAUAUUAUCUACAGUAUUUGAAACUUAUAACAGUUAAAUUUUAUAAUUUUUCGAUAUUAUUUAACUUAAGAUCAAAAUAUCUCAAAGUUGACUGUUAGUUAUUUAUUAUUGGGCUAAAAUAGGUUUAACUUCCUGCCCUGUGACAAUUGACCAAGGAGACAAAUAGAUUGAGUUGGGUGAGUCUAAUAAGUUAAGUGAUAGUGUGGUCAAUAAUAGACCUAACGACAGAGGUCCAAUAAUAGACCCAACAUUCAGCUGGGUUGAUUCAAGUUGAAGCCCGUGAGCACUGUGGCUGAACACUUAAGUGCGAUGAGUGCACCCUUCCUAUCAGCACAUGCUUUUGGGACAGUUGGUUAGCGCUUAUGAUCCACAUUGACAACUUUUAACGAUCGGCAUGAAAUAGUUGUUAGUUUAACGAUAUAAAAGAAUCAAAAUUAGUUGAAUUUUUUAUGAAAAUUUUAUUCACUAUCUAUAUAAUGUUUAAUAAUAUGGAUUGUCGGUUUUCAUAUCAUCUAAAACGACUUAUGAGUAGGAAUGCGGUCAUAUUCAUCAGAGUAUUGUAGUCUUAUUUUCUUCGAGUCAAACUACUGUACUCUUAUGAGUGCUUAGCCCUUGGAUAAAGCGAUGUGUGGUUAGAAUGAUAUAAAUUCUCUAGGAUUGAAUGUGCGGUUGGUUGAAUAGUAUGAUCUACGUUAACGGAUGGAAAUAGUCAAAGGAGCAGAUGUAAUGGCGGAAAACUUAGUAACAUAAAGCGCUUAGUACUAUUAAUAGCAUAAUAGUCGGACUAUAUAUAUAUACAUAGAGAGAGAGAGAGAGAGUAGAGCUACUAUGCUAUCGGAAGCAUAGAGGAUCUUGGUGCUUCCGAUUUUUUGACCCUUAGAUCAGCCCUUUUAAUCAUUUAUAACCUUUGGAUUAAUACUAUUAUUCUAUGAGGACCACUCAACCCUAGGGGUACUGCUCAACGCUAGGAGGGAUCGUAAUCAUCCCAAAUGUACAAUUCUUAAUUCAUGGGUCAAAAAAUCGAAAGCAUCAAAUCUUCUAUGUUUUCGAUAGCAUAGUAGCUAUAUAAUUUUUAUGAAUAAUUUGGUGGCAUUAAAACUUUUUAUUAUAAAUAUUUAAUGUUAGAGAAACUGCACUCUGAUUUUUCCUUUGAAGAAAAAAGAAGAAUAAUGUUAAAUAUAAAAGUAUUUAAAUAUUAUUUUUUAAUUAAUAUGAUAUCAGAACAGAAGGUCUUGAGUUCAAGUCACGUCAGGUCACGUCUAAGUUUCUAGCAUUAUUAAUUUUGUCUUAUUUAAUUCAAAUCCAUAUUAUGGGUCUAGCGAAUAGUCUCGAAUCCGGACGUCAGCGCGCGAGAAUGAGCUUUGACGAUAAUGGUUGUUUCGUAUUAUUUAGCAAAGAAAGUCGCAUUUCUUUUUUUCAAUAAUUCCUAUUUCUUUAAGAUAAUUAUUAACUAAAUAAAAGAGAGAGAGAGAGAGAGAGAGAGAGAGAGUAGAAUAUUAGUAAAUAAAUAAUGUAAACAGGUACAUAAAAAGAUUGUGUGCGAAUCAAGAAGAAGAAAUUUGUUUCCAAUAACCCAGCCUGCAAUUUAUGGAUAUGCUAUAUAUCUGUAGCCAAUCUGGAUCAAAUAUUAAUUAUUAGGCAGAUGUUAGUAAAAAAAAAAAAUUAUUUAGGAAUAUUUUGGGAAUAAAAAUUGAGAGAUCCAAAAAUUAUUAUGGACAUAUUAUGAGUGAAGGCAAAUUUAAUUCUAUAUUUAAUUUUUUGGUAAAACGUGUGCAGGACACCCAAAUUAUUGUGGGAUUAUUUGGCGUUGCCACCGCUCAAUCCUAAGUAGGGGUGGUAAUCCAGCUCAUGUUCGGCUCGGAAUGAGCUCGCGAUCGAAUUGCUUGCUUAAUAAACAAGAUGAAAACGAGCUGAAUUUUUCAACUCUUUUAAUAAACGAAUCGAACAUGAGCUGGGGUCAACUCGCUCGUGUUCGGCUCGAUAAAAACUCGAAUACAUAUAUAUAUAUAUAUAUAUAUAUAUAUAAGUCCAACUCAAUUAUAGAAAAAUCAUUUAUAUGUAAGGUUUCAACUAUCAGAUCAAAAUCAAAUCGGUAAGAUCUUAUAAAUUUAUUUUCUAUACGUAUCAUUUAUAUUUGUUUUAACUUUUUAUGCAUUAGUCAGCUCGUAUUUGGCUCGUGUUUGGCUCAUCAAUAAAUGAGCUGAAUUUUUCGGCUUGAUAAUUUAACGAGCCAGCUCGUGCUCGACUCCUUUAGAAAUCAAGCCGAACACGAGUCGGUGUCAGCUCGCUCGUGUUCGGCUCGUUGACACCCCUAGCCGAACAUAACAUGCUUCGAGGAGGUCAAUUCACAGCGAAAAACCUAAGCCAAUUAAAAGCUUAGAGUUCUCAGUCUUUAAAAACUUCCUCGUUCUUAAUUAAUAAAACUUUUAUAUGUUUUCUUUCAUCAUCAACAAAUGAAAGCAAAUAUGGUAAAAAAGUUUAAGGACAGAGUACUUCUUGUGUUCAGAAUCAUGGGUAUUGAUCUUGAUUCAAAUAGUUUAAAGAGUUUUCUAAUAAAAAAUUAAAUCAUUUUGGAUUAUUCUCUACUACUAAUGAAUAAAUAAUUAACAUUGAAAAAUAUAGAAAUUAGCUUUUAGGCACUUCAUAUAUUUUAGAUUAUAUUAAUCUUUUUUUUUUCUUUUUGAGGGAAAGUACGUCAUGAGGUGAUCUUAUUUAAUUAAUCAGUGGAUACAGAUUUGAGAAAAUUCAUCAAUAAAAGACUAAAAAGAAAGUUUAUUUGCCUGUGAGUCCCCAAGUGGCUAAGCAAUCCGCAAUUAUAGCAUGUUUAAAAAAUCUCGAAUUCCAUAUGAAGUUGAAGAAAUUGAAUCUCUCUGUAAAAAACCAUAGUUCCAUGAUUUUUAUCCGAGCUUCAGGUGUUAGCGAAUCUGAGUGAUAACUCCUGCGGUACAAAGCUUUGAUGAUGGAUGCUGAAUCUGAGAAAAUAUAAAAAGUUUUUCCAGGAUACAUUUGCAAAAGAAGCUCUGUCACUCGAGAGAUUGCUACAUUUAGAUUAUAUUAAUCAGUAUAAUUCAUUGAUUCAAGUGCCCCUAUUACUAAAAAAUAAAUAAGUAAUAUCGAAACUCAUUAAUUUACCAUUGAUGACAUUUUUGGUCAAACUUGCUCUCGAUAUAUAAUUCAAUAGACAGAGAUUGUGGAUCGUACUAAUAAUAACAAUAACAAUAAUAAUAAUAAUAAUAAUAAUAAUCAUAAUAAUAUGGCAAUUUCGAGAAGUUUCAAUGCAUGCACCGUUUACAUGCGACAAAAAAUUAACAAGGAUAUUUGAUCUCUACGGGUCAUUGACAACCUCUUGAUUAUUUUUUUAUAAUUAUUUAUUUUUAAGAAUAAUUAUUUAUAUAUUUUUGAAAAUUUUUGGACUUUUUUAUUAACCUUACUUAGAAAAAUAUUAAAACAACCGUUAUCUUUAUAAAUUAAGGAAAACUUCAAAAACCCUUCCGGUGGUUUCGUAGUUUCUUACUUUGCCCUCCUGUGAUUUAAAAUGUAUCAAUUUGCCCCCAUGUGAUUUUUUUUUCUCUUUUUCUUAUCAAUUUUAUUAUUUUUUUUUCUUAAAUCAGUGAUAAAGUUAAAAUUAAAGGGUACUAAAAUGAAUAUUUGAUAAAUCUAGAUGGGCAUUUGAAGUUUUUUGUAUAUAAUUUAAUAAAAUAUUAACGAAAAAGCUACCGAAAAGAUAGAAACGAAAUCACAGGGGGGCAAAUUGAUACACUUUAAACCACAGAGUACUAAAGUGAGAAACUACGAAACCACGGGGAGUUUUUUAAAGUUUUUUCUCUAAAUUAUUACUUUGUCUUUUUAAAUAUACUUUCUAUCGUUACCAAUUUUUUUAUUAAUUUGUCCUUAAGUUGUUGAUAAAAAAAUAUAUAUUUUAAAAUUUUUUUAACUCAGUACAAAUUUUAUCUGGAUUUAAUUCGAAAUUACUUAAUGGAUACUAAGAGCGAAAUUAUUUGAAACAAAAUAUAUAAUUAUCCUUGUAUUUUUAUAUCUGAAGUAAAAUUGGUCACGGCAGCAUCCGACAUAGAUCUAUCUCUUGGGAACCAAGUUUCAAUUAAUUAAUUGAUAAUUAAUUAAUAUUUGGUAGAGAUAAGAGUGUGGGGGAAUUAGUAUUCACCUCUUGUGUCGUAGACUCCCUUUGUGAUGGAGACAAAAUAGUCAACUAAUAAGUCAUAACACGUUUGUAUACAUAUUUGUCUCACAAAAACAGAGCUUUCCAAAAGAAAGAUGAACAGUCUUCUUUCUCCGCCCUCAAUAGUCAUACUUUUUUUUUCUUUUUUUCUCUUCUUUUUCUGUCUUUUCUCUACUUCUUUUUGACUUAGUUAUUUCUCUGCCCUCUGCCCUCAGUAGCCAUACUUUUAUUUUAUUUUAUUUCUUUUCUGUCCUUCUCUUUAACUUGUUUGAUAUAUAUAUAUAUAUAUAUAUAUAUAGAGUGAGGCUACUAUGCUAUCGGAAGCACGGAGCCUUCCGUGCUUCCAGCUCGUUUUCGAUGUUANAUAGAGAGAGAGAGAGAGAGAGAGAGAGUUGGACUAGGCUACUAUUAGUAGCAAAAUUUCAUUAUUGCUAUCAGUUUUUUAGCCUUUGGAUCAACUCUUUUCAUCAUUUCUAACUAUUGGAUUAAAUACUAUAACCCAGUGGAGACCACUCAACUCUAACUGACUAAUAUCAUCCUAAUCCUAUAAUUUUUCAUCUAAGGGUUAAAAACUUGAUAGCAAAAAGUGCAUUUUACUACUAAUAGUAUUUCAGCCUAAUUAUAUAUAUAUAUAUAUAUAUAUAUAUAUAUAGUCCGACUGGAAUACUAUUAAUAGCAUCAAGGGAUUGGUGCUAUCGAGUUUUACACCGUUAGAUUCAAGCACCCACUCAACCCUAGGGGCCCACAUCAUCCUAACCGUACAUUUCUCAAUCUAAGGGCUAAAAAACUAAUAACACUAAUAGCUUGGUUCUAUUGAUAGUAUUCCAGCAUAGAUAUAUAUAUAUAUAUAUAUAUAUAUAUAGAGAGAGAGAGAGAGAGAGAGAGAGAGAGAGAGAAAGAAAUAGAGAGUUAGGCUCCUAUACUUUCGAAAAUAUAGAGGCUUCCGGACUUGUAAGUUAUUUUUGUUGAUGGGGCAUCUGAUUUGGAGAUCGACUUCGUUAGACAUGAUUUACGCUAUUCGAAUUAUUUAGAAACCAAAUUUUAUAAUUUUUUUACUUCAUUUGCCUGGUAAACAGGUAGGCUCAAAAUGAACGGCUGAAAAUAAAAAUCUCGUAAAAUAUAGUGAAAAAAGACUCAAAUUUCAAAUUGGAAAUAUUGUUCUUACUCUUGAUGUUAAGUAGAAUUUUCUAUUAAAGUUUUAUGUAAUUUGGAUUCUUCUACACCGUUGAACUUUAAAACGUGCCACAUCGGCCGUUAAAAUAGUCAUUUUUGAGACUCUUUGAUCACUUGGUAAAUGAUGUCAAAAAAUUAUGAAAUUUGGUUUUUAAAUAGUUCUAAAAGCGUAGAUCAUGUCUAACGGAACCGAUCGCCGAAUCAGAUGCUCUAUCAUCAAAAAUAACUUAUAAGCACGAAGGCCCCCGUACUUUCGAAAAUAUAGAAGACGUACUCGAUAUAUAUAUAUAUAUAUAUAUAUAUAUAUAUAUAUAUAUAUAUAUAUAUAUAUAUAUAUAGUCCAGCUGCUAUACUAUCGGUAGCAUGGGGCCUCCCGUGUUACCAAGUUGUUUUCGAUGAUGCGGUUUCCAAAUCGACGAUCGGCUCUGUUAGACUUAAUCUACACUAUUAAAAGUAUUUGAAAACUAAAUUUUAUAAUUUUUUGACAUCAUUUGACUAGUGAUCAAAAGAUCUCAAAAUUGACAAUUGUAAUGGCCGAUGUGGCGUGUUUUUUAGUUUAACGGUGUAAAACAAUUCAAAUCCGAUGAAAAUUUUAUUGAAAUUUUUUUUCACUAUUUAGAGUAAGAUCAGUAAAUCUGAUCUUAAAUUUAAAUCUUUUAUCAUUAUUUUUUAUGAGAUUUUUAUUUUCAGCCGUUCAAUUUUAGACUAUUUGUUUGAUAGGUAAAUGAUAUCAAAAAAUUAUGAAAUUUAUUUUCCAAAUAUUUUUAAUAGUGUAGAUCAAGUCUAACGGAGCCGAUCGUCGAUUUGAAAGCCACAUCAUCGAAAACAACUUGGUAGCACGGGAGGCCCCGUGCUAUCGAUAGUAUAGUAGCCGAACUCUCUCUCUCUCUCUCUCUCUCUUUCUCUGUAUAUAUAUAUAUAUACAUAUGUAUAUGUAUAUAUAUAUAUAUAUAUACAUAUACAUAUGUAUAUAUAUAUAUAUACAUAUGUAUAUAUAUGUAUAUAUAUGUACAUAUAUGUAUAUAUAUGUAUAUAUAUGUACAUAUAUAUGUUAUAAUAUGUUAUAUAUUACAUAUGUACUAUAUAUAUGUACAUUAUAUAUAAUAUAUAUAUGUUAUAUAUAUGAUACAUUAUAUAUUUAAAGAUGUAUAUUCGUAUAUAUGUACAUAUAUAUAUGUAAUGUACAUAAUAUUUAUAUGCUACAUGUAUAGAUAUAUACAUAUAUAUAUACAUUGUCAUGAUUAUAUGUAAUGUAGUUAUAUAUAUGUAAAUGUACAUACAUAUAUGUACAAUAUAAUAAUAUAUGUAUUAUAUGCUUUAUUAAUUUAUUAUUGUACAUGUAAUAUAUUUAUAUAUGUACAUAUUAUAUUGUACAUGUACGUGAUACAUAUAUAUAUGUAUUAUAUUUAUAUAAUAUUGUACGACCUGGACCGGCAAAUGUUAGUUCCGUUUAGCACGUGACGUUGACUCAGUCGUACUAUUAAUUUCUAGCUGGUGAUAUGGCUUGAUAUUAAAUAUACCCGAACACUCGUGUACCGUAGCAUAUAGUAGACCGAAUCUUCUCUCUCUCUCCUAUUUCUCUUUUAUAUAUAUUAUAAUAUAUUGUAACGACCUGACCGACCCAAAAUGCUUAGCCUAGUUAAGCACUGAGUUAGACCUCACCGGUAUAUCUCAUCACUUCUUAGUGGUGAAUGGCAUUACAUUUAAAUAUAACGACCGACCCAUAGCGAAUAAUAGACUGUUGGGCAAAAACAAUCGGCUCAAAUGUUAGCCAGAUUAUUAUGUUAUUUACAUCAAGCUAUAUACCCAUCUGGUCAUAACUAUAUAAUUUGGGAUAUUGGGUGACACAAACACAAACACGGCGUUACUCGAUGCGAGCGGCGCACAAACACACAGUAUAUAUAUAUAUAUAAUUAUUUAUAUUAUAUUUAUAUAUAUAGAGAGAGAGAGAUGAAGAGAGAGAGGAGAGAGAGGGGGAGGAGAGAGUAGGGAUAGAUAUUGUAAAAGUAUCAUGGGGGUGAUACUGUGUGUUUUUUAACCUAUGAUGAGAGAUGUGACGGUUGAGAUAGAUGUGUAGGUGAUGGUCUAGGUGGAAUAGUGUUUAAUCAAGGGUAUUAAUAUCAAAACAAAGUAUGAUGCUGGCUUAAACCUAAAUAGACAUGAUGAGUGUAUUGGUAAAUAGUCUAAGCUCAACAUGUACAUAAUAUUUAUAUGCUACAUGUAUAGAUAUAUACAUAUAUAUAUACAUUGUCAUGAUUAUAUGUAAUGUAGUUAUAUAUAUGUAAAUGUACAUACAUAUAUGUACAAUAUAAUAAUAUAUGUAUUAUAUGCUUUAUUAAUUUAUUAUUGUACAUGUAAUAUAUUUAUAUAUGUACAUAUUAUAUUGUACAUGUACGUGAUACAUAUAUAUAUGUAUUAUAUUUAUAUAAUAUUGUACGACCUGGACCGGCAAAUGUUAGUUCCGUUUAGCACGUGACGUUGACUCAGUCGUACUAUUAAUUUCUAGCUGGUGAUAUGGCUUGAUAUUAAAUAUACCCGAACACUCGUGUACCGUAGCAUAUAGUAGACCGAAUCUUCUCUCUCUCUCCUAUUUCUCUUUUAUAUAUAUUAUAAUAUAUUGUAACGACCUGACCGACCCAAAAUGCUUAGCCUAGUUAAGCACUGAGUUAGACCUCACCGGUAUAUCUCAUCACUUCUUAGUGGUGAAUGGCAUUACAUUUAAAUAUAACGACCGACCCAUAGCGAAUAAUAGACUGUUGGGCAAAAACAAUCGGCUCAAAUGUUAGCCAGAUUAUUAUGUUAUUUACAUCAAGCUAUAUACCCAUCUGGUCAUAACUAUAUAAUUUGGGAUAUUGGGUGACACAAACACAAACACGGCGUUACUCGAUGCGAGCGGCGCACAACACACAGAUAUAUAUAUAUAUAUUAGAUUAUUAAUUGAUAUAUUAUAUAUAUAGGAGAGAGAGAGAGGAGAGAGAGAGAUGGAGAGAGAGAGGGGAGAGAGAGUAAGGGCAUGAUAUUGUAAAAGUAUCAUGGGGGUGAUACUAUGUUGUGUUUUUAACCAUUGGAUGAGAGAUGUGAGGUUGAGAUGAUGUGGUAGGUGAUGGUCUAGGUGGAAUAGUGUUUAAUCAAGGGUAUUAAUAUCAAAACAAAGUAUGAUGCUGGCUUAAACCUAAAUAGACAUGAUGAGUGUAUUGGUAAAUAGUCUAAGCUCAUAUAUAUAUAUAUAUAUAUAUAUAUAUAUAUAUAUAUAUAUAUAGUUGAGCUAGAAUACUCUUAAAAGCACCAAGUAGGUGGUGCUUGUGAGUUUUUAACCAUUGGAUUGAGAGAUGUAGGAUUGAGAUGAUAGUGGUAGGUGGUGAUAGGUGGUGGUAGGUGGAAUAGUGUUUGAUCCAAAGGGUAUUAGUAAUUAAGGAGUGAAUCCAAAGGUUAGAAACUUGGAAGCACCAAGCGGUUGGUGCUUCCAAAAGUAUUCUAGCUCCACUCUCUCUCUCUCUCUCUCUCUCUCUCUCUCUCUCUCUAUAUAUAUAUAUAUAUAUAUAUAUAUAUAUAUAUAUAUGAGUAGAGCUACUAUGCUGUCGGAAGCAUAUAGGAUGUGUGGUUCUUCCGACUUUUUGCCUUUAUAUCAACCACUUUGAGUAUUUCUAACCUUUGGAUUAUUACUAUUAUCCUGUGGGAACCACUCAACCCUAGAGGUAUUGCUCAACUCUAGAAAAACCGCAAUCAUCCCAAUCGUACAAUUCAUGAUCCAAAAGUCAAAAAGUCGGAAACAUCAAAUAUUCUAUGCUUCUAAUAAUAUAAUAACUCUACACUAUAUAUUAUCAUUUUUUAUACAAACAGGCACUAAAAAAUAAGCAGAAAUUUUUCACUCUGUUCAUCUACUAAGGCUCAAUUAACUUUACCAUAAUUUUCAGCUUCUAUACAAAAAAUCAUUCUCCUAUAAAUUUUUUUUGCCUUUUCUUUAUGACUAUCUAAAAUUUAUAUUUUAUCAUAUAAAAUUUUAAGUUGAUGCAUCAGCUUUCGUCAAUAUCCAGUCCAUUUCAUUUCUUCUAAUUUAUACUAAAAAUUAUUUUAAAAAUAACAAAAAAAAUAUUAAAAAUUAUUAUUUUUAUAAAAAUAAAUAAGAACAGUUUACACAUUUUGCUCUCUCCAUUAACACUAUAUUCUUCUAAAAGUAUCUCUAAAAUUUUUAAGAAAAUAAAAUAUAAAAUUUUGAAUUCAAGAGCAAAAAGUUAAAAAAACAGAUAUACAUAAAAACUUCUCAGGGGAUUUAGCACCCAUCUUAUGACUAUUCUAGUCUUAACAUACUUAACUCUCUUAACCUCUUGAGCUUAACUACUGCCAAAUUUAUAGGGAGCCACGCUUUACUCACAAUAAUCAUCAGUAUAAGAAUUUCACUCUUUCCACUAUAUAACCCUAACUCAGCCGAGACUCAUAUCAUAUUUGACACCCUACUUUCUAGAAGGUCAUUCAUUCUAAAACUACUCUAAUCCGAUCACACUUAACUUUUUUAAUCUCUUGGGUUUAACCACUGUUCAAAAUGCUAUUUAAUCCUAUUAUAUCUUAUAUAUAAAACUAUCUGGAGUCUCAUAUUUUUAUAUUAAUUUUUUUUAAAAAAUAAUUUAAUUGUUGGAUGGCGUACAUGUACAUGCACCGUUUCUUUCUUUUUUUUUUCUUUUUUUUUUUAUAUAUAUAUAUUACCCUUGUUUACAGGAUUUUUUAUCAACUGUACGCGUCCAUUAGAGGCGAGGUAGUGACAUUUAGAUCAACGUCAUUCAAUUAUAGAUUGGUCUCAAUUGAUUAUAAUUAUUAGUCUAUUAACAGCAUCCUAACUCAGUACGAUUGUCCAAAUAAAAUAAGUUAAGUUAAACAUUGGUCUCAAUUGAUUAUAAUUAUUAGUCUAUUAACAGCAUCCUAACUCAGUACGAUUGUCCAAAUAAAAUAAGUUAAGUUAAACAAACCACGUCAGAUUACAUUUGGUUUUAUUCAGAUUUGUACUUAAUUUGUUGCAAAUCAAUAUAACCACAUUUUAAUUCGAUUAUAUAUAUGGGAGUAGAGCUACUAUAUGCUAUCGGAAAUAUAGAGGAACUGGUGCUUUCAAUUUUUUGGUCCUUAGAUCAAUCUUGUUUAUCAUUUUUAAUCUUUGGAUUAAUACUAUUAUCCUAUAGAGACCACUCAACAAUAGAAUUACCAUUCAACCUAAGGGAACCGCAAUCAUCCUAUUCAUUUAAUUCUUGAUCCAAAGGUCAAAAAGUCAGAAGCACCAAGUCUUCUAUACUUUCGAUAGUAUAGUAAUUCUACACAUAUAUGGUUCAUGUCCUUUUGGCUUUUGCCUUUUAGCUUCUAGUUCCAGAGUUGUUUUGUUACGGCAUGAAAUAAUUGCAGUUUAAACAGAACGGUAAUUAUUAGAUAAAAUAUAUAUAUAUAUAUAUACCGACCGUCCCUAAAGCAAAUGGCAAAGGGCUUGUUGGUUGGUACCCGAGACCCAAAUUCGAAUUCUAGUUGAUAGUUCUUAAAUAGCUAUAUAUAGAAGAUUUAUGAAUGGGUGUAAAAUAUAUACCUUUUUUGUGGUGUAUCAGUAGCAUUGCUCGUGGCGCAUAUUGUACAUACUAAAAAUAAGGAUAAACUUCAAAUACCAUCUAUGUGGUUUCGCAUUUUCUCACUUUACUAUCCUGUGGUUUAAAGUGCAUCAAGUUAGUACCCUGUGGUUUUAUUUUUUUCCUUUCGUCAACUCCUCCGUUAAUAUUUCGUUAAAUUAUAUACAAAAAAAACUUCAGAUACCCAACUAGGUUUAUCGAAUAUUCACUUUAAUACUCUUUAGUUUUAACUUUGUCACUGAUUUAAUAAAAAAACUUAAUAAAAUAAAAAAUAAAAAGAAAAAAAAAACCAUCUAUACUCUUAUAUGAAUCCUCAAUAUGAAAUGAUGACGUGGCAAGCUUUCAUUUUUUUUAAUUUACGUUUUAUCUCCACUUCUAAAUGCUCAACCCUUCACCUCUCCACAUUUAAUUAUAUUCAUCAUAUUCCACCAAUUAAUGAGCUUAAUUUGUAACUCCAAUCCACUCCCCUCCACCAUUAAUCCCUCACCAUCUCUUUUGCAUGAUAUGUUCUGAAUCCCCAAUAUGAAAUAAUGACUUGGCAAGCUCUCAUUUUUUUAAAUUUACGUUUCAUCUCCAUUUCUAAAUGCUCAACCCUUCACCUCCCCACAUUUAAUUACAUGCAUCAUAUUCUACCAAUUAGUGAGCUUAAUUUGUAACUCCAAUCCUCUCCUCUCCACCAUUAAUCCCCCCACCUCCUCUUUUUUGCAUAACAUGUUAUUUUCCAUGCAAAAAAGAAGAUUUUCAUGUAAUCGCUCACCUCACACUCUCUCUAUCUCAUUGUGUUAACAAAGAUUAUGAGGAUAAUGAAGAAGAAGAGCAUGCGAAGAACGUUGUCUCCUUCAAGAAAUAUUGUCCUGUAAAGUCCAGCCGUGGCUUAUAUAAGUGCUCGCGCAGACCGGUCUGCGCCGAAGCCCUCGCUCGCCGUGAACCGUCGCCACCUCGGCUGUCUCCUCGCGUGGCUCGCGCAUGCCCACACUGGGCCGAGGGGAGCGACGUCCUAGCCUCCUCUUCGCGGGGGCGUUGUGCGGGAGCUCGCUUCUCAAGAAUCGCAGGGACUUCUUGGUAAAUCAAAUUGUUUAAGUAUUAGAAUUUCUGUGGUUGAUGUGAUGGCAAGACUGUAUCGGUUUAGAUAUCGCAGUUUGGUGAUGCAGAUGAGAUGUUUGUUCAUAGGUUACAAUGAAAAUUCAGAAGUGACUCGACGCGGGAAGCAACUACCAGCUGAAAAUUAAGAAGAUGUAUAAGGUUUGGAUAAGUAAGAGAAGUGCUCCAAAAAAAUAUUAGUUUUUUUAAGAUUGAUGUUUUUUGUUUUAUUUUCAUCUUAUGACCAUUUUUUUUUAGUAAACACUGUUGUGGGCAAAAUUCUUUUCAUAGAUUAAAAAGUAUGAUGUGGAGACUGGAGCCUGAGACCCCACCCAAAAUUUUCUUAAGCCAAAAACGUUAAGUUAUUAUUUAUGUAUUUCAUAUGUUUCUAGCUAUGAUUUUAUUUUUUAACAAUUGAAUUUAGUUAUACAAAUUGAUUGUGCUUAACAUGGUAUAACUUCCUAUAAGCUGUAAAUAUAAAUUUUAUUAAAAUUUUAAAAAUUUAUUUUUAUUAUCUACCCGCUACAUCGCGCGGGUCUCUAUACUAGUAUAAUAUUAAAUUGAUACACUUUAAAUUACAUAGUACUAAAAUAAGAAGACGCGGAAUCACGGAAUGGUAUUUGAAGUUCUCUCCGAAAAUAAAAAUCAUAUAAUCAUGUUCACAAAAAAACAAAAGGACUAUGCCAAUAAAUGGCAUAAAACAAAUCUUUAUUUGUAGUUUUUCCAUGUGCCUGGACUUUUCCCCUCACAUUUUGAACCCUACAAAUACAUGAGACAAUCCCCUCCAACUCUUCCUCUCUCUCUUAACAAACUCAAUCACUCCCUUAUAGAGAGAGAGGGAGAGAGAGGGAGGGAGAAGGAGAUGGAGAAGCCAAGCAUGGAGGCUCCUCUGCUGACAAGCUGUGAUAACAAGAGAGAAGGGGGAGGGGAGGUUGUGAGGGAGGUGAAGAAGCAGCUGUGGUUGGCAGGGCCUCUCAUAGCAGGGAACCUUCUGCAAACCAUCAUACAAGUCAUAUCCAUAAUGUUUGUGGGCCAUCUUGGGGAGCUUGCCCUCUCUGGCUCUUCCAUGGCCAACUCCUUUGCUACAGUCACUGGUUUCAGUGUGUUGGUACGUCCUUUGCACCACAAUUCUUUCAUCUCCCUUCUUCUUUAUUGUUUGUUCAUAACCGGUUCAGAAUUGAACCGGAUAGGAUAAGUCUAGAGAGCGAUGCUGGUAGAGAGGUCUGAGUCAUGCGAGGAAUCUUACUGUGCCCAAAUCUUGUCGAAAUCUCUGUGCUAUCCCAUUCAAUCCAAUACUGAGUGCCAAACAAGGCCAAAAGUGAUGAAACAUGUCUUUAUGUAUGAUUUUUUUUUAGCAUGUAUGAUUCAAGAAAUCUAUCAUUAUCUAAUGUUUAGAAAAAUAAAAUAGCCUAAUGUUGUGGUUUUAGUUCUCACUACAUGUCAUGUGUCAUGUUAGUUUAUGGCAAGAGUUUAUUUAAGAAUUAGCCAUACAAUUAGAAGCAUCAAAGCUAUAAUUAUUUGUCUUUAUCAAAUGAAAAUUCUAUGAUUAUUUAGGGUAUUUCCUUCUCCUCAACUGGAGGAGGAAGUCUUGAUUGUCAAUUUCUAGUGCAAAAUCUCCUUCCUGCAGAAACUAGUGACCAGUCUUUUUCUGGGUUAACUAUUUUGACUAUAAAAUGGAUCAGAAAGGAAAAGAAGAAAAACUACAGAAGUGUUAGGGCACUUGUAUAUCAGAAAUUUAGAUUUAUACUACUUUGUAUGUAAAGAUCUUCAUGGAAAAGGAAUAGGAAAUAGCAAUCCAUUUGGCCCUGUUUUUCUGAUAAUUAGUUAAGUUAGCUUCUUAGGAGACAGCAAACAAAUUAAUAGUGUUUCCUUUCUCAUCCUUCGCCAGCAUAAACGGCAUAAGGCCUGUGAUGUAGAGAUAUUUCAAUCCCCUAAGCAUCUACAUAGAGAGUACCAUGUUAAAACAUUUGCAUUGGAUAUACACUUCGCGUAUACGUUCCGCACAUAUCGAAUAUUUCCAGAAGAGCAAAAUACACACACACUUUGUUUCUUUUAGCAUUUGGACCAGGGAUUAAGUU